UCAGACUUGGGGGAAAUUGGUAUUCAGACAGGACCAUCCGUGAGGGCUUGCUCUCAUUCACCAGCUUCAAGCAUUCAAGUUUGUGGAGUUCGCAAAGGCUUUUGGAAACCCCAGAUUGAUAGUAACUCAAAUCUCCAGAUAUCCGAAGAGUCUGAACACUAGGUAGUCUGCCCAAUAUAUCAGGAGUACAACUACUAGGGUUUAAAGCUGAUAUGAAAAUGAGAUUUUUCAGAGAGCUAGAAUAAUUUUUUGGAGGUGCGGGCAGAGUGAUAGAACCAAAGUUUAGAUGCAUGAGUUUUUGCAUCAUCCAAAUAUCCUCUGGUGACUGAUCUAUGUAGCUAGAUGGCAUUUCUAGUGUUUCAAGGUUUAAAAGGGUGCAUAGCAGUGAAGGAAGGCAUUUGAGCGAAGGGAUAUUCAAUUUCAAAUACUUCAAAAGAUAUAAAUUUUCUAAUCCGGGUGGAUAUUGGUCCAGGACUGCAGAACCCAUGUUCAAUACCCGAAGGUGUUUGAACUUUUUACAAAAAUUCUCGCAAUCUAUCAGAGCGAGAUGAUCGCUUGCCGAACUGUGAUUCAGAAAAGAUUGGAGAUACAUGUCAGAAUGUUCUAAAGAUAAAAACCCAGUCAGAUCUUCGGCAAUGACGCACCGUUUAACAUUUGCCACUCGCUCCUCUUCCCUGUCAUGCACCAAGACAAAUCCGGCCUUCUCUGCCACAAAAUACAAUGAAGUAUAUACAAAACUUGGAACAUAACACGCUUUAAUUGUGGCUCCGGCGCUUCUCUUACUCACUUGAAUGAAGCCGCGAUGGAUUAGUUCUUUCAAGUAAUGUUCGGCAGUUUCUUCACCGUUGUAUGGUAUGAAACCUUCAGCUACCCACAACUGAUAUAAUUGCUCCGUAGAUAUCUCAAUACUUGGAAGGAAGACACACAAAUAGAUGAAGCAGACUUUCAAGUAAAAAGGUAACUCCAUCACAGAAAAAAUUUGUCUCCAAACUGUCGGAAUCGCUUCGCCUUGAAGAUAAUUUUCUAAUGGCAUACUUCCAUAGUGUAGGAUGAAAAAUUGCCACGCUUCAUGCUUUAAUCUGAUCAAUGGUCCUCCAAAGAGCACUGAAUCACGCCGAAUCUUCUCUCCGUUUUCCAUUUCCAACGACGCAAGGAGCUGUGGAUCACUGACCAACAUCAAUACUCUGCUUCCAUUCUGAUUAUCAGGAAGAACUUCUUCAAGAUCACUCCAUAUCUCACUGUCAUCGAAGACAUCAUCAAGCACAAUAAAGUACUUCCUGUUUGUUAGGUAAUCUCGAAGAAUAGAUUUCUUCAAUUGAUAAUCUUCCCCGAUAAUUACACUAACCCGAGAUGGAGGCAUCACCGACUUGAUUAUGUCAUCCAAUAUCUUGCCAAAAACGUAGGUUAUAGAAACCCUGACCCAAGCAAGACAGUCAAAAUAGAACUUGACGUGGUUAUUAUUGUAAGUAUCUGCAGCAAAAACAGUCUUGUCGAAGCCACUGCUGUCGAGAAUUGCAACCACUGCAAGCCCAGAUGGUCCCUCAAUCAAUAGAUCAAACAACUCCUCCCUGCCCCUUUCAAAUUCAUUGAUAUCAAGCCGAGGUUGUCCCUCACUCAAUAGGCGAAUGAUUUCGUUACUUUUUUCACUGAUAUCAAAACCAUUGUCGCCGGGUGGAAGUUGUUGCAUCCGAUUUCUAAUAUCAAUGAUUUUAGUGUGGAGUCCAACAAGAAGAGCCAUAAUGAUGUUGAUGAUUUCGUUACUUUCACUUUCGUUUUCACUGUUUUGCUGCUGCAUGAUGUUGAUGAAGAAUGUGUCAAUGACUUCCUCAGAGUCACGGACAAAGUUAUUGAUGUCCUUCAGAAUUUCAAAAAUAUCUGCUGUUUCAACGUCUUCUUCAUCGCUUUCUUCUAAGUCCAACAGUUGCAAAAAAGGCAAAGAUAUUUUGGAGUCAUCGAAUUCUUCUCUAAUGAGUUGAAACAAAUGCCGAGCCAUGUCAGCUUCAUAAUUUCCCAGCAGAGUAGUAGCAAUAAUUUCGGACUCCGUAAGAAGGUUUUGAAAAAGUGGAGUUAAAUUUGUUGAAUCUGGCAGCGGCAACGUGCCUUCUUCACCUGCUAACACCCUUUUCAACCUCUCACAAAACAGUCGGAGGUGGAAUUCCAGCAUAUCUCCUUCUCUCUGUAGCAGCCAGAGGUAUUGUUUUUUGCUCCAAGAAAUAUUAAAAGGAUUGGUUCUAUCCUCAAGUGGUUACUGGUGUAAAAUUAAACGCCAUGGGAGAAUUUGAAAGGAAGAUGCCAAGGAACUGGCGAAGUGGCUAAAUUCCACAAAUACGGCAUUAUUGCUCAUUUUUAACUCAAAAAAUUGAUACGCGUUCAUUUAGAGAAAAGUCCAAGACGCGUGCUUUUUGAAAAGAACAGGUAUCCCAAUCGGUAUCCAACCUUUAUCUUAUUUAAUUACUACCAUGACAUAAUUGAUGGUGCUUAAAUCAAUUGUUUCUUUUUUAAUUUAAAGAAUUUUUCAUUAAAAAAUAUUUUAAUAUCAAAUUGCCUUCAGUGGCGUAACAACUGCCUCAAGCCCAGUAACAGGACUAAUUAAAAAUUUUACAAUUUUGGGGCAUGGAAAUAGUAGUAUUAAACAUUAGAAAGGUGAGGUUGUUCUGUUAAAGAAUUGAUAUUGACAUAAUUUUAUUUUGGUUUUCGUGGAAAAAAAAAAUUUGUUGACAAACAAGAAAAUAUUUUUAUAUUUUAAAAUUUAUUAUGCAUAUUUUAUCAUAUUAAAGUAGUUUUAAUAGUAAAUAGAAACAUAAUAUUACGAUAAAUAAAUUAAAAUUUAACUUAUUUUGAAUAUUAUAAAAAAUAAUUUUAAUAUUAUUAAUAGGAAGACAUUGUAUUAAUUUAAAAAUUUUUUAACCCAAAGGUUUAUUUAAAAUCUUUAUUAUAAAUACAAAUAUAAAAUUAAAUAUCAUAAUUUAAAAUUUUUAAUAUUAUUUUAAGUAUGAAAAAUAUUUUAAUAUUAUUAGUCUAGAUCAUAUUACUUAUAUAAUAUUUGUAUUAUUAAAAAUGCUUUAAAAAAGACCUUGUUGUUACUUUUUAAAAAAUUGAGGGCCUGCUUGAUAAUUUUUUCAAAAAGAAAAUGCUUGGUAUAUAGGAGGGGUAGAGAAACAGGACUCCCAAAAUCUCUCACCCUUUUGUAAUUUAAAAAGAAUUAAAAUAUCAAUAAAAAAUAAUAAAGAAAAUAGAAUUUUAUCUGCUCCUUACUCCAUUUUUGCAACUCUCUCACCAUCUCUGUCGAGCAGCCCUCUCUCUCAUUGUCUCUCACUAUUUCAGGAUCUCUCUCUCACUCACACAAUCCUUUCCACGAUUUGAAAUUCUUUGGCCUUCUGCAACUCUUACAAGAAAUUAACGCUUUGGUUCUCCCAAGGGUAGAUUGGUUUUAUUGGGAAGCUAUUAAUUAGAAGGAGGAAAAAGGACUAUAUUUAGAAUAUGAUUUGUUGGAGAAUCUCAAAGUUAAUCAAUUUUCAAGCCACACUUUCAAUAGCCAAUUGAUUUAGUAACCAUUAAUUACUUUAAUUUCCAUAAAUUGUAAUGACAGUGCAAAUGCAUCUGGUUGUGAUAGCUAAGGGUUAGCUUGAAGAAUUAAAUUUCAUAAGAUAUUACUGGAAAAUGCUUUGCAGCUAACGUGCUGCUUCCUUUGCUAGACUACAAUUUCAAAAUUCUCACGAGUUUUCCAUUGUUGUCACAAACCGAGAAAUUAUAAAAUACAUGGCCUGGUUCUUUGGCAAUGACCAUCUCAUCGUCGGCGGUCGUGUCGUCAUUGUCACUGGUCUUGCUCGACCGAGACAGUGAGAGAGAGGUUUGUUAGAUGGAGUUAGUGAGAGAGAGUUGUAAAGAUGGAAUGAUGAUAAAGGAUUCUAUUUUUUUUAUUGUUUUUUAUUAAUAUUUCAACAGGUCUUAGUAUAUAUAUAUAUGAUUGUAAAUAUCAGUUAUACUCAUGUAAUAUGAGUUGUAAUUUGAGCAAUAGUCUCAUGUUAUCAAAAAAAAAAAAUCAAAAAGCAAAGGUUGUUAUGUCGAAGAAUUGAUGUCAACAAAAUUUUAUUUUAGUUUUCGGAAAAAACAAAACAAAAAUAAAAUUUUUGUUGACAAGCAAGAAAAUGUUUUUUAUACUUUACAAUCUGCUAUACAUAUUUUAUCAUAUUAAAGUAAUUUUAAUAAUAUAUGGAAACAUAAUAUUAUAAUAAAUAAAUUAAAAUUACUUUGAAUUAUUGAAUAUUACAAAAAGAUAAUUUUAAUAUUAUUAAUAGGAAAACAUAUUUUAUUUGUAAAAUCUUUUUAAUACACAAAUUCAUUUAAAAUCUUUAUAAUAAAUACAAAUAUAAAUUAAAAAAUAUCAUAAUUUAAAUUUUUUAAUAGUAUUUAAAUAUUAAAAAUACUUUAAUAUUAUUAAUCUACUACAUCAAAUAUAUUAUUUAUAUUAUAUUCGUAUUGAUUAAAACGUUUUAAAGUCAAAUUUUUAAUUAGUGUAUUCAAAGGUACAAAAGAUUUUAGUAUUAUUUUUUAAAAAUUUCAGGAUAUGAAUGAUAAUUUUUUCAAAUUUUAAAGAUGUAAAAAUCUUUUUUUCUGAUAAUUUAUUUCACUUUUGAGAGAAUCCGAAAACGUUAAUUUAACAUUCUUUACCUUUGUGAAAAAAGUGAAAAUCAAGAACUAUUCAAUUUUGUUUUUAUUUGUAAUUCAAAAACUUUAUUCAUUUUCGAUGCUUUUCAAAAGAGAUUCCUUUAAAUCCUUUUGAUGUCUGCAGCUCCUGCUAUUCUCAUAAAUCUCCAUCCCACAUCUACACUAUCAAACUAGUUGAUGGAAAUUCUUAUAAAAAAAAAAAAAAAGUCGAUGGAAAUUGAUCAAUUGCUUUUUGAAAUGGACCCAUUGAGUCAUGUUCAUUUCUGGUCAUAUAAAUUUCUUUACCUUACAGUUUAUACGGUCUUGCUGUUAAUGAAUUCGCUGAGGCAUUAUUGAUCCAAUCUGAGUGAAGUAAUUGUGGGUGAAAAAUAAAUAAAGGAUAGCAGAACGUAGCUGAAGUGCUGAAGGGGCUAUUAAAGAAGAGUGUCACUCGAUCACAAUCACAUUGAUGCACAACUCACUCGUGGCAAAUUCCGACUAUACGUACUGCAAAUUCAGCCAAACCAUACAUGCAUGAACAAAACAUCUUCUCUAAACUAAAAAGCCCACAUCUCUAAAAUCAAUCUACAUAAUGUUGGAGAUGAGGGGUGAAUUGUUAACUCAGUAAAAAAAAAAAAACUCAUGCAUAAGAUUACUAAUAAUAUAAAUUAUAUAUUAAUCAUUAUGAAGAAUCAUAAAUUAGAAAAAUUAAUCAUUUUAUAAUUUAUUACACAAGUAAGAUAAAUCUUAUAAUAAGUUAUAACAUAAAAAAACGUUAUCAAUAAAUAAUCAUUUAAGAAGUCAUUUAACAAUAAAAUCGUUCUUUGAUCAGUUGGUCAUGUCACAUAGUAUCAUCUAUAUUUAUGGUGAUAAUAUUAUUACUUGGUAUUAUCAAAAAACAUGAUUUAACAUUUUAGAGGAAAUUCUUGCCUUUUAAAAAAAACAUGUAUGCAACAGCUACCCAUGCUUGAUCUUACAAAUGAACAAAUAAUUUUUCUCAAUGAAAAGAAUUUUUUUUUUAAAUUGAUUUAAUUGCACCAAUUAUGAUGAUUUUUUGCCAAAAAAUUAUUUUUUGGAAAACAUAGUGAGAGAAAAUUAGUGACGAUUAUUUGUUUAGAUUGUAUAAAUAGCUCAAACAUAAUCCCUUAAUAACCNNNNNNNNNNNNNNNNNNNNNNNNNNNNNNNNNNNNNNNNNNNNNNNNNNNNNNNNNNNNNNNNNNNNNNNNNNNNNNNNNNNNNNNNNNNNNNNNNNNNAGGGAGAUCGUCGGGGACAAUCUGAACGGCCGACGCCGAUGAAAUGGAAGGGUUUACCAGAGGAGUGGAUGCGAAGAGUGCAGGGACGGCCGCAGAGAGAGAGCGGCGGAGAGCGGCGACGGACGGUAGUCGGUAUGGGCCAUUGCUUGCGCGUCGGUAAUUGUCUCGAGUGAGAGAGUGAAGGGUUUUGUUUAGGGUUUUGGGAAAUGAAAAAUGCAAAUGUUUGAUUUUGUUGCUAGAAACUUCUUCUGCCGCUGCCUUUUAUUUUCGCUAUAAUAAUAUUAAUAAUUUGUUAAUAAAAUAUUUUCUUAAAAAAGAUAAAUUUCUACGACAAAAUUUAUAUUAAAUCAAAUUGUAAAAAUGUCUAUUAGGGUUAAUUUCUCCUUAAUAUUAUUAUUAGUAGAAGUAGAUUUUCGAAUUAGUCUUGAUAUAUUUCAGAGUUGUAUUAUAAAUGUAUAUGUAUCUGGAUUGCAAUUGUAUUUUUAAAAAAUAUAAUUUUUUUAAUUAUUGCACAAUAAAUGUAGAAAGUGUCUAUAAAAUAAUAUUAUUAGAACUAUGAAAAGAUAUUAUUUUAGAGUAGUUAUUUAUUUAUUUUUGAAUAAAUAAUUUAUUAAUUUAUUGAUAAAUUAAUAUUUAUUAAUUUAAAGAGAGAUUUUUUUUUUGUGGGUUUUAAGAAGAGUUUUGUUGGUAUAUGUAUAAACUUAUAAAGAAAUACAAAAAAUGCUUCCUCAAGUCAAUAAUAUUUACUUUAAUUCAUAAUAAUAUAGUUUAAUCAAGAAACUUGUAAUUAUACUAUAUCUUUCUUUCUUUGUUCAGUUUGGUGGGACAUUGUGAUAAAUCAUUGGAUUAAAAUGCAUUUGUAAAUGAAAACUUGUUAAAACCUAAUUUAUUUGGGAAAAACAUAUUAUUUACUCUUUUUUUUUCCCGCUCUCUGACAAUUGAGGUAUGGGUCAAGCUUGAAAGUAUCUUAAAAUCAGACAACAAUUUAACGAUUUUUUGUUUUUAGAUAACUGCUGGUAUGCUCUACAAUGAUAAGUGAUAACCUAGGUGUUUGCAUUAAUUAUGAUUCAACAAUUUAAAAAAUGAAAACAUAUGGAAGACGGCCGCAAUUAAAUUUAUUGUAUGAAAAUAUUUCAAUGAAAUUUUAAAAAUUUAGUACUUGUUAUCUUAUCGAGAGUUUUUAAUUAUAUUACUACUUGAACUUGACUGCUUUUGUAUUGAAUUCCUAGCGUUGCCAUUGCUUCUACUCAAAAGCCAUUUAAGUUUGUGUAAGCUACCUGUAGUUUGAACAACAAUUUUCUAGAUGAAUUUUUUCCUACAUGCUUGUUCUCGUAUGACCCAAAAUCCUGCUACAUCAGUUGUAUUAGAAAUUAAUCAACUGGGUUACAAUUAUGCAUCCCCACCAAUAUUCAAGCAAUCUACAGAAACAUUUCUUGAGGAAAGAAACUCAUAUCGCCACUAGGCUUUUAAUGAGGCUCAUUUUUAUGAAUCUGGAUGGCAUUAGAUAUCUCUCCGAAUAUUGGUGGGAGUAUAUCGCUGAUCUCUGGGCUAUACUACAAAGUGUAUGUACGUUGACUCUCAAUAAAUACAAACGAUUCUCUGAUCUGAUUCAAAACAUCAGUACAUGCAUCAUUUUAAUGAGAAAGAAUAUUCUAAGAACGAAAUUGAAGGUGCAAUCAGCAGCUAAAAUGAAGCCAGAAAUGUACACGCAUGAGGAACUUUUCCUAGAAGAUUGAUAUUUCUUUAACUAGCAAACCAUAUAAGUCCAAAGCUAACCAAACCAUACCUGCAAGUCCGGGGCUUAAAUGGAGUACUUGUAAGCAUAAAACAUUAAUCAAAACACAGUAUAGACACACACACACACCCCUACAUACAUACCAGCAAAUUCGGAAUAGAAAAAGGAGUGCAACUAUUCAAGUUUGCAGACAAUAUUGCAACCAUGGCAUAUUAAAGCAAAUCCUUGAAAUCAGCUAAACAAAACAAUGCCCUGUCUCAUGAAUCGAUGCUCAAUUAAAAUUGCAAUUGAAAGUCCGGCUGGUGUUGUUUCCCUCCCCAGUUUUGCCUACAUAAGUAAACGGAAAUAAGAAUCAUAAAUGAAAAUCUACUUUGACAGUUCUUAUUAGAUAGAUAUAAAAAGAUCUUUCUUUGUUUCUCUGCUGUAAUUUGUAGACAUGUUCCUAUUGUGCAUAAUUUACAUUAUAGGCAAAUAUUCUUAUACCAUCAUAGGCAAAACAUGACACUAACAAUUGAAGGUUUUAUGACCUCCUUGAAGGUUUUACGAUAAACAUAAAUCUACUGAGAAAGUGGGAAAAAAAAGAAAAUGCAUAUAAAAAUAUGAGUUAUCAGAUAAGAUUGAAACUCACCCAAUUCAAUCCAUCAGAUUCCGCAAGGAUAUAACUGGAUGUCAUACCGCCACUCCAUAUCCUCGAAAGUCCGUAGUCCUUGUCUCAACUGUGUCUGGGGCCAGUGUAAGUCCAAUUUGCGCAAGCUCUUUAUGCACCACAGCUCUUCUGGAAGCUUUCUCAAGUAAGCACAUGGGUUGACAAUUAAGCUUUCAAGUUUCGGCAUUGCUCCAGCCCCCAUCGUCCACUCAUCUAGCCAAUACAUUGAUUUCAGGUGCAAAACCUUAAGUUCGGGAAAGCUACUCAAGCCAACACAAGCAAGCUUUCUUCCUAAAUACGAGUUCUGCUUCAGUUUCAGCACUCGAAGGAGUGGAAGAUUUUCCAGAAUUGGCAUGGGAUCCUGUUGUGAAUUUGGCUUUGUUACGACUAACCAAAUUCUCCCCAAGACACUAAUUUUGUAUCAAAUGGUUUGAGAAUUAACAGCACAGAUUAUGCAGUAACAAAUCACACGCAAGAACCAAAGCAUUAAAGAAACAAAGUGACACCAAGUAUAAGUGGUUCAGCACCAAGAUGUGGUGCCUACAUCCACUGGAAACAAAGCAACAGUCUUUCACUAUUUAGUUCACAAAACAAUACAAUAAUAGGAAUUUAUUUACAGAGAACAAGAACUUGUAAACCCCUUUCUCUCUCUAUCUUCUCUCUACUCUCUGUGUUUCCCAAUUCAUGUGUAGACGAUGACAGAGCCUGCACUUUUAACCUCUGUUUCUGGGUUGUUACAUUAACUACCCUUCCCGCCAAAACUAACCAAGAAGCUCCUCUCUCACGUGCUUGUCACAAGUUGGCAUAAGUGAGCUUGAAACGGCAAUCACAGAUGUCGUUCUUGAGCUAACGAGAUUUCAGCUUCACUACACGUGCAAACCACGUGUAUUACUUAAAGGUUGAAUGACCAAAGAGAGGAUGUCGGUUUUACUCUGAAGAACUCCUCAAGCGACAAGUCGGCUGAGACUAACUCCUCUAAACGACUUGUAGCACUUGAGUUUCGAGUUCACUGUUUAUCAAUCUCCACCUUGAACUCAGAACUCUAGCUACUCAUGUUUACUUCAUUCUCUUCCAUUUGCAGCUAAUCAGAAGCUGCAAAUCCCUACUAAGCUCAAACAGAAGUUGAGCUUGGCAGAUGGCAUAGCUUUAGUCAACAUAUCAGCUGGAUUUUGAUCAGUGUGAACCUUGAGCAUCUUCACAAUUCCCUUGGAAACUUCAAGUCUAACAAAAUGCAGCUUUACAUCGAUAUGUUUUGUUCUUUCGUGAUGGGUCUGGUUUUUACUCAAAUGUAUUGCACUCUGGCUAUCACAAUAUACUUCAACUGUUUCUUGUUUUGCUCCUAACUCAGAGACCAUUCCUUUUAACCAGAUGGCUUCCUUAAAAGCUUCUGCAGCUGCUGUAUAUUCGGCUUCAGUUGUGGACAAAGCUACCACACUUUGCAGUGUAGCUUUCCAAUUCACAGUGCAGCCUCCCAAAGUGAAUAUAAAACCUGUCUGAGACCUCAUUUUAUCAAGAUCUCCAGCGAAAUCUGAGUCAACAUACCCCACCAGCUUGUGCCCUUCCUGUUUUAACCCUCCAUAUAGCAGACCAAACUCCAUAGUGCCUUUCAGGUACCUCAUUAUCCAUUGGACUGCCCUCCAAUGUUCAUAACCUGGAUUUGCCAUGAAUCUACUCACUACACUCACAACAUGUGAGAUAUCAGGUCUAGUGAGAACCAUGGCAUACAUUAGAUUCCCAACUGCACUGGAGUAAGGUAUCCUUGCCAUUUUUCCUUGCUCUGCAUCAGUUUGUGGACACUGUGCAGCAGACAGCUUGAAGUGAUUUGCCAAAGGUGUUUGAACAGACUUAGAUUCAUGCAUCCCAAACCUAAGUAACACCUUUUUAACAUAGCCCUGUUGGGUUAGAAACAUAAGCUUCCUUCUCCUGUCUCUGAUAAUUUCCAUACCUAAGAUCUUCCUUGCAGCUCCAAGAUCUUUCAUAUCGAAUUCACUGCUCAAGAGGUCCUUUAAAUGACUGAUUUCAUUUAUGCUGUGACAUGCUAUAAGCAUGUCAUCCACAUACAGCAUAAGAUAAAUCAUCUUUCCAUCACCAAUGUCCUUAAAGUACACGCAACAAUCAUAAUUGCUUCUCUUAUAGGCAUGUUUUGUCAUGAAACUAUCAAACUUCAAGUACCAUUGCCUAGGAGACUGCUUUAAUCCAUAUAAAGAUUUCUUUAGUAAGCACACAUGAUCUUCCUUGCCAGACACCACAUACCCCUCAGGCUGCUCCAUUACAAUUUCUUCUUGUAAUUCACCAUGCAGAAAGGUUGUUUUAACAUCCAUCUGCUCUAGGUACAAGUCUUGAAUGGCAACUAAAGCUAAGAUGACUCUGAUGGAGGCAUGUUUCACAACUGGAGAGAAGAUUUCAUUGAAAUCAAUCCCCUCUCUUUGUGUGAAACCUCUUGCUACCAGCCUAGCCUUAAACCUACUAGGUUCAGCAUCAAAUAUCCCUUCCUUAAUUUUGAAGAUCCAUUUGCAGCUAACAGUCUUCCUUUUCUCUGGUCUAACUAUCAGUUUCCAAGUUCCAUUUUUCAUUAGUGAUUCAAUUUCCUCAUCCAUAGCCUUCUUCCAUUUCAGCUUAUCCCUGUUGUUUAUAGCUUCUUUAUAGGUUCUUGGCUCUUCUUCAUUUAUCUCUUGUGCAGCUGUUAAUGCAUAAGCUAUCAAAUAUGCUACUGCAUACCUCUUAGGUGGUCUUACAGCUCUCCUCUUUCUAUCCCUGACCAACUGAUAAGAGUUAUUUUCAUUCUCAGCUGGCUCUGACUCCUGAACACCAUCAGAUCCAUCAGCAACCCUUCCUGCAUCUUCUUCAGAUUCUGAUUCAGUCAUAUCUUGCUCAUGGGACUCCACCUGAAACUGAAUACUCCCAGGUUUUAUUUCUGAUCUAUACUCUUUGGAUUCAGUGGCUUUGGAAUUGUUCAAGAUUUCUGACUCAUUGAAAGUUACAUCCCUACUGAUAAUGCAUUUUGGUGGCUUCAGAUCAAUGCACCAUAGCCUAUAGCCUUUAACUCCAUCAGGGUAUCCCAAAAAUCUACACUUUAAGGCUCUUGGCUCCAAUUUGCCUUGUUUGACAUGUGCAUAAGCAACACAGCCAAAGAUUCUUAGUUUAGAGUAAUCAGCAACCCUUCCAGACCAUAGCUCGAUAGGUGUUUUGCAUUCUAUUGCUGUAGAUGGGCUUCUGUUUACCAAGUAGCAUGUUGUGUUUAAGGCCUCUGCCCAGAGUGACUUAGGCAGCUUUGAGUAUAGCAGCAUACACCUCACGUUGUCCAUUAAGGUUCUAUUCAUCCUCUCAGCAAGACCAUUUUGCUGAGGUGUGUGUAUGACUGUUUUGUGCCUCAUAAUCCCAUGUCUUUCACAGAAGUCCCCAAACUCUUUAUUGCAGAAUUCCAUUCCAUUAUCUAUUCUUAGAGCUUUUACUUUCAAACUUGUUUGUGUUUCUACCAGAAUUUUCCAUCUCUUGAACCUUUCCAAAACUUCAUCUUUGGUUUUGAGUACAUACACCCAAACCAUCCUUGAAUAGUCAUCUAUUAGGGAUAAGAAAUACCUACAGCCACCAAGGGAAUCUACCUGUGCAGGUCCCCACAGAUCAGAGUGUAUAUAUGCAAGCCUCUCUUUGGUAGAAUGAACUGCAGAUUCAAACUUGAGCCUGGAAGCCUUCCCUAGAAUACAGUCUUCACAGAACCCCAAAGAACUUAGCUUGUCACUUCCAAACACCCCCUUCUUUUGAAGCUCCUUCAGUCCUCUCUCCCUCAUGUGCCCCAACCUCAAGUGCCAUAGUUUUGCUUUAUCUUCACUCUUCUCAGUGACACUUGCCUCUCCAACAGUUGUAUGUCCAUUAAGCACAUACAAACCAUUUUGCUUGGUACCUUUCAUUAUGACUAUUGAGCCUCUGAUAACUUUUAAUGUCCCAUUUUCAGCCUUAAUGACACAUCCAGUUUGAUCAAGCAUGCCAAUAGAUAUUAGGUUCCUUUUGAGUUCAGGAACAUGCCUAACCUGAGUCAGUUCUCUAACCAUGCCAUCAUACAUCUUAAGGCUUACAGUCCCAAUCCCAACUACUUUACAAACUGAAUUAUUUCCCAUCAGCACCAUACCCCCAUCACAGGACUGAUAUGUAGUAAAGUAAUUUCUAUUUGGACUCAUAUGAAAAGUACAUCCAGAGUCUAGUACCCACUGACCUUGAGUUUUUUCUUUUGUGGCAAUGAGGACUUCAGCUGUCUCAAAACUGGUUUCUUCUGUGGCUAUUGCUGCAUUUCCAGAUUUUUCUUUUGAUUCCUUUUGUUUUGUUUUUCUCUCAGGGCAAUCCCUCUUGAAAUGCCCUUCUUUGUGGCAGUGAAAACACUUCAAGUGUUUUUGCUUUGACUUUGAUCUUCCUUGCUUCUUUCCUUUGUAUUCUCUUUUUUCAGAUCUUCCCCUUGCCAUCAGCCCUUCACUUGAUUCACUCUCUGAGUUAUCUUGUUUGUCUUUUAACUUCUUGGUACCAAGAGCAGAUUUAACCUCUUCCAAGGAGAGUGAUUGCCUUCCAUAUAACAAGGCAUCCACAAAAUGUUCAUACGAUUUUGGUAAAGAACUGAUUAACAGCAAAGCCUUGCUCUCAUCACUCAGUCCUUCAUCAAUUGUUUCCAGUUCAUCACAAACUUUAUUAAACUCAUCUAUGUGUUCAUCAAGUGAUGCUCCUUCAAUCAUCCUCAGUGAGAACAUCUUUUUCUUGAUGUAUAGCCUGUUUGCUAAAGACUUUGUCAUAUACAAUUGUUCCAGUUUUGCCCAGAGCCCAGCAACAGUCUUUUCUUUUGCAACUUCCCUUAUCACUGAGUCACCAAGACUGAGGAUGAUAGUGCUUCUUGCCUUUUUGUCAAUCUCAGCCAUCUGUUCUGGAGUUCUUGAAGAAGAAGCUUCUGCAUUUUCACUCUUGAUGACUGGAUCAAUGGCAUCUCCCAGACCUUGUGUGAUUAACAAUGCUUCCAUCUUGAUCCUCCACAUAUUGAAGUCAUUCUGACCCGUGAACUUCUCAAGAUCCACCUUGUUUGUCAUUUCUUGAACCUUGAUACAGAAAAGAGGGCUCUGAUACCAAUUUGUUGUGAAUUUGGCUUUGUUACGACUAACCAAAUUCUCCCCAAGACACUAAUUUUGUAUCAAAUGGUUUGAGAAUUAACAGCACAGAUUAUCCAGUAACAAAUCACAUGCAAGAACCAAAGCAUUAAAGAAACAAAGUGACACCAAGUAUAAGUGGUUCAGCACCAAGAUGUGGUGCCUACAUCCACUGGAAACAAAGCAACAGUCUUUCACUAUUUAGUUCACAAAACAAUACAAGAAUAAGAAUUGAUUACAGAGAACAAGAACUUGUAAACCCCUUUCUCUCUCUAUCUUCUCUCUACUCUCUGUGUUUCCCAAUUCAUGUGUAGACGAUGACAGAGCCUGCACUUUUAACCUCUGUUUCUGGGUUGUUACAUUAACUACCCUUCCCGCCAAAACUAACCAAGAAGCUCCUCUCUCACGUGCUUGUCACAAGUUGGCAUAAGUGAGCUUGAAACGGCAAUCACAGAUGUCGUUCUUGAGCUAACGAGAUUCCAGCUUCACCACACGUGCAAACCACGUGUAUUACUUAAAGGUUGAAUGACCAAAGAGAGGAUGUCGGUUUUACUCUGAAGAACUCCUCAAGCGACAAGUCGGCUGAGACUAACUCCUCUAAACGACUUGUAGCACUUGAGUUUCGAGUUCACUGUUUAUCAGAUCCUCCAUUAGCUCAGUAUUUGAUAAGCUCAGUUGGAUCAGACUUGGGGGAAAUUGGUAUUCAGACAGGACCAUCCGUGACGGCUUGCUCUCAUUCACCAGCUUCAAGCAUUCAAGUUUGUGGAGUUCGCAAAGGCUUUUGGAAACCCCAGAUUGAUAGUAACUCAAAUCUCCAGAUAUCCGAAGAGUCCGAACACUAGGUAGUCUGAACAAUAUAUCAGGAGUACAACUACUAGGGUUUAAAGCAGAUGUGAAAAUGAGAUUUUUCAGAGAGCUAGAAUAAUUUUUUGGAGGUGCGGGCAAAGUGAUAGAACCAAAGUUUAGAUGCAUGAGUUUUUGCAUCAUCCAAAUAUCCUCUGGUGACUGAUCUAUGUGGCUAGAUGGCAUUUCUAGUGUUUCAAGGUUUAAAAGGGUGCAUAGCAGUGAAGGAAGGCAUUUGAGCGAAGGGAUAUUCAAUUUCAAAUACUUCAAAAGAUAUAAAUUUUCUAAUCCGGGUGGAAAUUGGUCGAGAACUGCAGAACCGAAGUUCAAUACCCGAAGGUGUUUGAACCUUUUAAAAAAAUUCUCGCAAUCUUUCGGAUUAAGAUGAUUGCUUUUUGAACUGUGAUUCAGAAAAGAUUGGAGAUACAUGUAAGAAUAUUCUAAAGGAAAGAAGUCAAACUGAUUACCCAAAAUGAUGCACCGUUUAAAAUUUGCCGGCGGUUCCUCAUCCACGUCAUGCAUCCAGACAAAUCCCGUCGCCUGUGCCAACAAUAACAAUGAAGUAUAUACAAAACUUGGAACAUAACACGCUUUAAUUGUGCCGCCGGCGCUUCUCUUACUCACUUGAAUGAAGCCGCGAUGGAUUAAUUGUUUCAAGUAAUGUUCGGCAGUUUCUUCACUGUUGUAUGGUAUGAAACCUUCAGCUACCUACAACUGAUAUAAUUGCCUCGUGGAUAUCUCAAUACUUGGAGGGAAGACACACAAAUAGAUGUAGCAGACUUUCAAGUGAAAAGGUAACUCCAUCACAGAAAAAAUUUGUCUCUCAACUGUCAAGCCGAAUUUUCCUUGGGUCAGGGUUUCUAAUGGCAUACUUCCAUAGUGUAGGAUGAAAAAUUGCCAGGCUUCAUGCUUUAAUCUGAUCAAUGGUCCUCCAAUGAGCACCGAAUCAAGCCGAAUUUUCUCUCCAUUUUCCAUUUCCAACGACGUAAGGAGUGUUGGUUCAGUGACCAAUAUCAAUACUCUGCUUCCAUUCUGAUCAUCAGGAAGAAGUUCUACAACAUCACUCCACAUCUCACUGUAAUGGAAGACAUCAUCAAGCACAAUAAAGUACUUCUUGUUUGUUAGGUAAUCUCGAAGAAUAGAUUUCUUGAAUUGAUAAUCUUUACCGAUAAUUACUCUAACCCGAGAUGGAGGCAUCACAGAUUUGAUUAUGUCUUCCAAUAUCUUGCCAAAAUCGUAGAGUAGAGAAACCCUGACCCAAGCAAGACAGUCAAAAUAGAACUUGACAUAGUUAUUAUUGUAAGUAUCUGCAGCAAAAGCAGUCUUAUCGAAGCCACUGCUGUCGAGAAUUGCAACCACUGAAAGCCCAGAUGGUCCCUCAAUCAAUAGAUCAAAAAACUUCUCUCAGCCCCGUUCAAAUUCACUGAUAUCGAGCGGAGGUUGUCCCUCACUUAAUAGGCGAAUGAUUUCGUUACUUUUUUCACUGAUAUCAAAACCAUUGUCGCCGGGUGGAAGUUGUUGCGUCCGAUUUCUAAUAUCAAUGAGUUCACUGUGGAGUCCAUCAUGAAGAGCCAUAUUAGUGCUGCUUUCACUUUCGUUUUAACUGUUUUGCUGCUGCAUGAUGUUGAUGAAGAACGUGUCAAUGGCUUCCUCAGAUUCAUGGACAAAGUCAUUGAUGUCCUGAAGAAUUUCCAGAAUGUCUGAUCUUUCAUCGUCUUCUUCAUCACUUUCUUCUAAGUCCAACAGUUGCAAUAAAGGCAAAGACAUUUCGGAUUCAACGAAUUCUUGUCUGAUGAGUUGAGACAAAAUCCGAGCCAUGUCAGCUUCAUAGUUUCCCAACAGAGUAGUAGUAAUAAUUUCAGACUCCGUAAGAAGGUUUUGAAAAAACGGGGCUAAAUUUGUUGAAUCAGGCAACGUUAACGUGCCUUCUUCACCUGCUAACACCCUUCUCAACCUCUCACAAAACAGUCGGAGGUGGACGUCCAGCAUAUCUCCUUCUCUCUGUAGCACCCAGAGGUAUUGUUUUUUGCUCCAAGAAAUAUUAAAAGGAUUGGUUCUAUCUCAAAGUGGUUACUGGUGUAAAAUUAAACGCCAUGGGAGAAUUUGAAUGGAAGAUGCCAAGGAACUGGCGAAGUGGCUAAAUUCCACAAAUACGGCAUUAUUGCUCAUUUUUAACUCAAAAAAUUGAUACGCGUUCAUUUAGCGAAAAGUCCAAGACGCGUGCCUUUUGAAAAGAAGAGGUAUCCAAUAGAUAUCCAACCUUUAUCUUAUUUUAAUUACUACCACGACAUGAUUGAUGGUGGUUAAAUCAAUUGUUUCUUUUUUAAUUUAAAGAAAUUUUCAUUAAAAAAAUAUUUUAAUAUCAAAUUGCCUUCAAUAGCGUAACUGCCGCAGGCCCAGUAACAGGAUUAAUUAAAUUUUUUUGAAUUUUUGGGCAUGGAAAGAGUAGUAUUAGACUUCAGUAAGCUAAGGUUGUUAUGUUAAAGAAUUGAUAUUGACAUAAUUUUAUUUUAGCUUUCGGGGAAAAAAAUAUUUGUUGACAAGCAAGAAAAUAUUUUUGUAUUUUACAAUUUAUUAUACUUAGUUUAUCAUAUUAAAGUAAUUUUAAUAAUAAAUAGACACAUAAUAUUACAAUAAAUAAAGUAAAGUUUAAAUUAUUUUGAAUAUUAUAAAAAAUAAUUUUAAUAUUAUUAAUAGGAAGACAUUUUGUUAAUUUUAAAAUAUUUUUAACCUAAAGGUUUAUUUAAAAUCUUUAGAAAUCUCCAUCCCACAUCUACCCUAUUAAACAAGUUGAUGGAAAUUGAACAAUUGCUUUUUGAAGUGUACCCAUUGAGUUAUGUUCAUUACUGGUCAUUGUCUAUUCUUUCUAAGAGCCACUUGUUUUGAGCAUUAGCAAUCCUAUCUGGACUACUCCAAUUAUUGAUGUAACUCCAAUGGUUGCAUCAACAGUUGAAUGUAAGAUAGUGUUAGUUCUUUUUUGAGAAUUUCUUUAUUUGUUUCUCCGUUGCAGCGUAUUAGUAUAAAUUUCUUUACCUUACAGAUCCUACAGUCUUCCUGUUAAUGAAUUCGCUGAGGCAUUAUUGAUCCAAUCUCAGUGAAGUAAUUGUGGGUGAAAGAAAAAAUAAAGGAUAAGAGAACGUAGCUCAAGUGCGGCAAACCAUACAUGCAUGAACAAAAGCCAGCAAAUCCAAAUGAAAACUUAAACGGAAGAUCUUAUUCAAGUUUGUCCCCAAAAGACAGCUGAAAUGAAAAAUAUUGACUAUCGAGUGGAUCAAUGCUGAAUUACAUUUGACCUGGAAAGCUUGGCUGCCGUUGCGAUGUUCCCCCUCUGAUUUUCCCUAAAACAAAUUCAGUUGUAAACAAUAACUGGGGUAGCAACAAUUUAUUCAUUAUAGAAAAUACCUAAAUUUUCAACCACCAAAUCCUCGUGUCUAAACUAAAAAACUCAUAUCUCUAAAAUCUAUAUACAAAAUGUCAUAAAUGAGGGUGAUCUCUCAAUUCGGUAAAUAAAUUCAUGCAUAAUAUUACCAAUAAUGAUAAAUUACAUAAUAAUUAUUAUAAAGAAUCAUAAAUUGGAAACAUUAAUCAUUUUAAAAUGUAUUACAUAAUAAAGAUAAAUCUUAUAAUAAGUUACGUUAGAACAUAAUAAAUAUUUUCAAUAAUAUAUAUAAUUAUUUAAGAAGUCUUUUAGCAAUAAAAUAUAUAUUUUUUCUUUUUCAGUUGAUCAUGUCAUAGCGUUAUCUAAAAUGUUAGCGAUAUCAUUAUUCUUCACUUUUCUCAAAAAAAAAAAAAGAAAAAAAAAAGAAACAUGAUUAACGUUUGGAGAAAAGUCAUGCCUUUUAAAAAGAAUAUGUAUACAAUACCAAUCCAUACUUUAUCUGACCAUGACAAAAUUGUUUAAAAUAGAUUUAAUGCACAAAUAUGAUGACUUUUGGCAGAAAUUAGUUUCGGAAAUAUUGGGAUGAAAACCAUAUUGGUUGAGACUUAAAAUUACUUAACUACCAUUUAAUAGAUAAAAACCAUAUUAGUUGAAAGUUAAAUUAAGAUUUAAAUGUUGAGAUAUCUAACGUUACUUAAUCAGAAUAAACAAUAAUCAAUUCAAAUUAUGACUAUCAUGUAGAAGCAAAUGUUUAUGCUUGGGUCUUUUACUUCUUGAAUUUGAUUGGAAAAAUUUCUGAGACAGAGAAGUGAGUGUUUUGGAUAAUAUUUUUCGGGAUUGAAACCACAAAUUGGUCGAGGAAAAUAAUUUUGGACAAAUUUUUAUUAUAUUGUAGCACCUUUUUGGUUCCUUUUGUGUCGGCAGCCCCUCACUAUUCUCUUAACCCUGAGUUUUGAGAUAGAAAUUUCCCGAACUCCAACCCCACAUCCACAGACAAGUUGAUUGAAACAAUUGCUCUUGUAAUUAAGAGGAUGAGAUAGGGUUCAGUUCUUAUCAUUGUCUGUUAUUUCUUUGAAUCAUUAUCUUAAUUAAUUACAUCAAUUGUUUCUUUUUUUAAUUUAAAGAAUUUUUCUUUAAAAAAAUAUUUUAAUAUCAAAAUGCGUUAAAUGGUAUUACUGCCGCAAUCCCAGUAACAGGAUUAAUUAAAAAAAUAUUCUUAGGAAGAUAUUUUGUUUAUUGUAAAAUCUUUUUAAUCCAAAGGUUUAUUUAAAAUCGUUAUAAUAAAUAAAAAUAUAAAAACAAAAUAAAUAUCAUAAUUUAAAAUUUUAAUAUUAUUUUAAAUAUUAAAAAUACUUUAAUGCUAUUAGUCUACUACACAGGUUAUAUUACUUAUAUUAUAUUUGUAUAAAUUAAAACUUUUAAAGUUAAAUCUUUAAUUACUAUAUUGAAAAGGUAUUAUGGUUAAAAAAAGUUUUGGCAUUUUUUUUUGAAAAUUUGAGGGUCUGCAUGACAAUUUGUCCAAAUCCUAGAGGUAUAGGUGUAUUUUUUUUUCGAUAAUUCAUUUUACUUUUGAGGGAAUCCGAUGAGAAAUAAGAUAAGAGAAACUUCAAUUUAAUGUUCUCUAGGGAAAACCAAGAACUAUUCAACUUUGUAUUUUUUGUUUGUAAAACAAAAAACAGUUUGCCAAAAAAGGUACCAAACAUAUCCUUAAUGUCUCACAUGAUUUCUUAUUAAGUCCAUACUCGAUAUAUUUAUACAUUUUAGGUAUUUUAGUUAUAAAAGAAGUUGGUCCUCCCUCUGUUUAUAAAAGGUAACUUUAUUUCGAGAUUACCACUAAAGUCUUACAAAGAAUUAGUGUAAUGUUAAGAGAGACUAACACAGUUUUCCAUUACCAUUUUGAAAAUAGAAAGAUAUGGAUGUGUGCAUUUAAUGGUGAGUUUACUUGCCGGAUUGGGGAAUCAGAAUCUGGAAUCGGAAUGAUUGAUGGUGUUUACUUCGCAAAUAUGGAGCAGGAAUCAGAAUUGGAAUGGUGGAGCCCACCACUAUUUGGGAAUGGGAGAUUGAUUCCCAUGGGGGAAGGUGGGAAUGAGUCUCCCAUUCCCUGGAUUAACCAUUUUGCCCUCCCUCAAAAUUAAAAAUGCCUACUUUGUCCUCUUUUAUAAUUAAUUAAUAUAAUAUUAUAAUUAAUUAAUUAAUAUAUAAAUAUUUUAUUAACUAUAAUUAUUAAAAAUUAUAGUUCUUGAAUAAAUAAUCACAAUAAUUAAUUUAUUAUUAUUAUUGUUAAUGAAUUAAUAUAAUUAUUACUAUUAAUUAAUAUAUUAAUAUAUUAUUAACAAUAAUAUAUUAAUAAUUAUUUUUCGUGAAUAAAUAAUCACAAUAAUUAAUAUAUUAUUAUUGUAAUUAAUUAAUUAAUAUACUAUUAUAAUAAUUAAUUCAUAUAUUAUUAUUAAUUAAUUAAUAAAAUUAAAAUUAUUAAUUAAAUAAAUAAUAUAAUUAUUACUACUAAUUAAUAUAUUAUUAAAAAUAAUUAUUAAUAAUUAUAAUUUUUGAAUAAAUAAUCACAAUAAUUAAUAUAUUAUUUUAAUUAAGUAAUUAAUAUUAAUAUUAUUAGUUAAUAUAUUUUUAUAAUAAUUUUUGAUAUAGUUAUUAUAAUUAAUUAAAUUUUUUUACAAUUAAUUAAUAUAUUAGUUAAUAAUAAUUAUGACAAUAAUCCAUUAAGUACUUUUUAGUAAUUUGUUACAAUCUAAUUCAUUCUGAUUCCGAUUUCAAGACAAAGUAAACACAUUAAUGGCAAUCUAGCUCAUUUCGAUUUUGAUUCUUACAGUUCAAGUAAACAACUUAUUUUGAUUCCCAUUACCUAUUCCCAUUCCAGCCCAUUCUCAUUUCUGCCCAUUUCAAUUCCAGCUCAUUCCGAUUCCAGUUUAGUAAACGCAGCAUAAGAGUUAUCAUGAAAAUCAUACAAUUUAAUUUCCUGAAAUAUAUAUUUUAUUCACAUGUGCCAAAAGAAUAAAUAGAUAGAAAGUAAAUUUACAAUCCUCACUCCCUCAUAAUUGUUAAAGUGAAUAUGCAUUACAACUGUGAACUGUCACUACUUUAGCCCCUUUUUUUUUUUUUUCAAUUAUAGUGUGAUGGAGACAGUGAACAUUAAGGAUAAAGUGCUCUGCUGAAAGCCAAACUUCCUUUGGCUAAUUAAUUUAGAAGUAAAGCAGAGAAUAAAGUCCUUGAUGCCUUCUGAAAUUAGAAAUACAUUUUAUAUGCUUUAAUUAUGAUUAUUUGGUAGACUAUUGACCAAAAGACAUGUUAAAGUAUAAAACAGAGCGAUCAAAGAAAAAAAAAAAAGGAGCGUUUGUGACGUAGAAUAACAAUUUGUAAGUAAAGUCCUAAUUUGAGUUGUCAAAAAGCAAAUAUAACAGAGAAGGUAAGAGAGAUGCAAAAAGGGGAAAUUUACAGUAAUAACCAUUAAAGUUUUGAUUUUUUUCAUCUUAACCCCUUAAAAAUAUUUCUAUCAACAUUAGCCAUAAAACAACUUUUGAGACCAAAAUACCUCUCCUUCAUCUCUCCCCCAAAAAACUUGUUCUGUGGCCAAAAAGCUUGAUUUUUUUUUUAAAAAAAAAAUCUAAUCUUUUGCGGCUUGUUGCAUGAUUUUAAGAUGAAAAAUUUGUCAAGUUGUAUUCUAUCAGCAUUAUUAUUAUUAAUGCUUUCACCUGCAAAUUCAUUGAUAUUCAUUCCCCCUUCCAUAAUCUUCGUGCCCAAAUUGCUUCUAACUUUUCUCGACUUCGACGCGGGUGAGAGAUUGCUUUUCCUUUCACCUUUUUGUUUUCUUCCGUUUAGCUUCAUUAUUUUAAAAAAAAAAAAACCGAAACAGAACAGAAACAAAAGCUUCAGCCCGCGGCCACCGUCCAAGGCUGCCGGCUCUCGUUUUCCGUCACCGAUCCGGACGCAACCACCACUAAACGGAUCAUAAAUCGCCGGCCAUCAAACUCCAAGCAUCGGACACCGUUGAUUAGCCACAGAUCGCCGGAAAAGCAACCAAAACAGCCGCGCCAACCGUGCCGUCAUUCACCGGUUUCCGCCGCGAUUUAGCCAGCACCACCGUAAUCAAUCCACUCCUCUCCACGAGCUCAACCUCUUUCGUUAUUCCCCACCUCCGAUCGACCAACCCAUCGCCGGAAUCUAAGCAUCACCAAACAGUUACAACUUAUCUCAAAUUUCCGGCCAAAACGCCACCGUUUCCGACGAAUCACAAACAUCAUCAUGAACAACUUCAAGUUUUGGUGCGACAGGGUGCUUGUCGCACCAAAACUUGGUGCGACGGGUGCCUGUCGCACCAAGGCUUGGUGCGACGGGUGCCUGUCGCACCAAGGCUUGGUGCGACGGGCACCCUGUCAUCAGAUUCAUCCUCCGACUCAGAUCAAUAAGUUUGAAAAUAACUCAUGCCACGAUGCCGAUUAGUUUUGGUCUGUAAAGAAGGGUAAUUUAGGGAGAAAGGCUUGUGUUUGGCUAAUGUUGAUAGAAAAAAAUUCAGAGGAUUAGUUGCAAAAAUAACAAAAUAUUUAUGGUUAUUUUCGUAAAUUUCCCCAAAAAGAGAACUAUUAGCUUAUCUUGAUUUCCCCACUAUAUUCAUUUUCGAUGCUUUUCAAACGAGAUUCUUUUAAUCCUUCUGGCGUCUGCAGCCCCUGCUCUUCUUAUAAAUCUCCAUCCCACAUCUGCACUACGAACAAAUUGACUAAAAUUAAAUAAUGUUGGAGACGAGGGAUGAGCUGUCAACUUAUUAAAAAAAACUCAUGUAUAAUAUUAUCAAUAAUAUAAAAUAUAUAAUAAUUAUUAUAAAGAAUCAUAAAUUAGAAAAAUUAAUUAUUUUACAAUCUAUUUCUUAAGUAAGAUAAAUCUCGUAAUAAGUUAAGUUUAAUGUAAAAAAAUAUUUUCAAUUUAUAAUCAUUUAAGAAGUCAUUUAACAAUAAAAUCUUUCUUUUGAUCAGGUGGCCAUGCCAUAGAGUAUCAUCUAUAUUCGUGGUGAUAUUAUUAUUACUCAAUAUCCUCAAAAGACACGAUUUAACAUUUAGAGAAAAUUCCUGCCUUUUAAAAAGAACAUGUAUGCAAUAGCUAGCCACACUUUAUUUUACCACGACAAAAUUGAUAGUGAUUAAAUCAAUUUUCUCAAUUAAAGAAAUUUUUUUAAAUUGAUUUAAUGCACAAAUAUGAUGAGUUUUUGCAAAAAUUAGUUUUGGAAAAUAUAGUGAGAGAGAAUGGUGACGAUUAUUUUUCAGAUGUGCAAAUAGCCUAAACAUAAUCUCUAAUACCAAUAUCCUUGUGCAUCUUAACACCUUUCAUGAUAUUCUUUCAUUCAUGGCCAUUUGUUCAAUAUUUGAAUUUGAUUAUUAAAUUAUGUUCAAUAAUGUUAGAGACCCCAAUAAUUGGGUACCAACUUAAAUCCCAAUGCUAUGUGUCAUUAACAAAUGUUGUGUCAUUUAUCAUUAUUGAAUGAAUAAUUCGUUAAUUUAUUGAUAAAUGAAAAUUUAUUAAUUUAAAGAGAGAUUGUUUUUUUUUGGUUUUAAGAAGAGUUUUGUUGGUACAUGUACAUACUUAUAAAGAAAUAAACUUGUAAUUAUACUAUAUCUUUCUUUCUUUGUUCAGUUUGGUGGGAUAUUGUGAUAAAUCAUUGGAUUAAAAUGCAUUUCUAAAUUGAAACUUGUUAAAAUCUAAUUUAUUUAGGAAACACAUAUUAUUUGUCAGUCGUACUUCUCAAAUAAGAUUAAAACUCACCCAAUUCAAUCCAUCAGAUUCCGUAAGGAUAUAACUGGAUGUCAUACCGCCACUCCAUAUCCUCGAAAGUCCGUAGUCCUUGUCUCAACUGUGUCUGGGGCCAGUGUAAGUCCAAUUUGCGCAAGCUCUUUAUGCACCACAGCUCUUCUGGAAGCUUUCUGAAGUAAGCACAUGGGUUGACAAUUAAGCUUUCAAGUUUCGGCAUUGCUCCAGCCCCCAUCGUCCACUCAUCUAGCCAAUUUACUCAUGAAUUGUUGUUCAUAUUAGCAAUUUGAUUGAAAGUGUGGCUGCACUAAUUUUCUAGAUGAAUUUUUUCCUACAUGCUUGUUCCCGUGUGACCCAAAAUCCUGCUACAUCAGUUGUAUUAGAAAUUAAUCAACUGGGUUACAAUUAUGCAUCCCCACCAAUAUUUAAGCAAUUUAAUUACAGAAACAUUUCUUGAGGAAAAAAACUCAUAUCGCCACUAGGCUUUUAAUGAGGCUCAUUUUUAUGAAUUUGGAUGGCAUUAGAUAUCUCUCCGAAUAUUGGUGGGAGUAGAUCGCAGAUCUCUGGGCUAUACUACAAAGUGUAUGUACGUUGACUCUCAAUAAAUACAAACGAUUCUCUGAUAUGAUUCAAAACAUCAGUGCAUGCAUCAUUUUAAUGAGAAAGAAUAUUCUAAGAACGAAAUUGAACGUGCAAUCAGCAAUUAAAAUGAAGCCAGAAAUGUACAUGCAUGAGGAAUUUUUCUUAGAAGAUUGAUAUUUCUUUGACUAGCAAACCAUACAAGUCCAAAGCUAGCAAACCAUACCUGCAAGUCGGGGGUUUAAAUGGAGUACUUCUAAGCAUAAAACAUUGAUUAAAACAGAAUACACACAUACAUACCAGCAAAUUCAAAAUAGCAAAAGGAGUGCAAAAGUUCAAGUUUGUAGACAACAUUGCAACCAUGGCAUGUUUAUAGCAAAUCCUCGAAAUCUGCUAAAUAAAACAAUGCCCUGUCUCAUGAAUCAAUGCUGAAUUAAAAUUGAAACUGAAAGUCUGGCUGGCGUUGUUUCCCUCUCCAAUUUUGCCUACAUAAGUGAAAAUAAGAAUAAUAAAUGAAAAUCUGCUUUUACGGUUCUUCUUUGAUAGAUAAAAGGGGGAUCUUUCUUUGUUUCUCUGCUGCAAUGUGUGCCUAUCCCACUCUGUUUUGCCACCCAAGCUGAGUCUAUGUUGAGACAUAAUUUUGACAUCCGAAGCAAUCUCAAUUAGUUUGGCAAUUUUAUGACCUCCUUGAAGGUUUUAUGAUAAACAUAAAUCUACUGAGAAAGUGGGAAAAAAAGAAAAUGCAUAUAAAAAUAUGAGUUAUCAGAUAAGAUUAAAACUCACCCAAUUCAAUCCAUCAGAUUCCAUAAGGAUAUAACUGGAUGUCAUACCGCCACUCCAUAUCCUUGAAAGUCCGUAGCCUCUGUCUCAACUCUGUCUGAGGCCAAUGUAAAUCCAAUUUUCGCAAGCUCUGUAUGCACCACAGCUCUUCUGGAAGCUUUCUCAAGUAAGCACAUGGGUUGACAAUUAAGCUUUCAAGUUUCGGCAUUGCUCCUGCCCCCAUCGUCCACUCAUCUAGCCAAUACAUUGAUUUCAGGUGCAAAACCUUAAGUUCGGGAAAGCUACUCAAGCCAACACAAGCAAGCUUUCUUCCUAAAUACGAGUUCUGCUUCAGUUUCAGCACUCGAAGGAGUGGAAGAUUUUCCAGAAUUGGCGUGGGAUCCUCCAUUAGCUCAGUAUUUGAUAAGGUCAGUUGGCUCAGACUUGGGGGAAAUUGGUAUUCGGACAGGACCAUCCGUGAGGGCUUGCUCUCAUUCACCAGCUUCAAGCAUUCAAGUUUGUGGAGUUCGCAAAGGCUUUUGGAAACCCCAGAUUGAUAGUAACUCAUAUCUCCAGAUAUCCGAAGAGUCCGAACACUUGGUAGUCUGCCCAAUAUAUCAGGAGUACAACUACUAGGGUUUAAAGCUGAUAUGAAAAUGAGAUUUUUCAGAGAGCUAGAAUAAUUUUUUGGAGGUGCGGGCAGAGUGAUAGAACCAAAGUUUAGAUGCAUGAGUUUUUGCAUCAUCCAAAUAUCAUCUGGUGACUGAUCUAUGUAGCUAGAUGGCAUUUCUAGUGUUUCAAGGUUUAAAAGGGUGCAUAGCAGUGAAGGAAGGCAUUUGAGCGAAGGGAUAUUCAAUUUCAAAUACUUCAAAAGAUAUAAAUUUUCUAAUCCGGGUGGAUAUUGGUCCAGGACUGCAGAACCCAUGUUCAAUACCCGAAGGUGUUUGAACUUUUUACAAAAAUUCUCGCAAUCUAUCAGAGCGAGACGAUCGCUUUCUGAACUGUUAUUCAGAAAAGAUUGGAGACGCGUGUCAGAAUAUUCUAAAGAUAAAAACUGAAUCAGAUCUUCCCAAAUGAAGCACCGUUUAACAUUUGCCAGUGGUUCCCUUUUCCUUUCACGCAUCCAGACAAAUCCCGUAAUCUCUGCCACCAAAGCCAAUGAAGUAUAUACAAUACUUGGAACAUAACACGCUUUGAUUAUGCCUCCGGCUCUUCUCUUACUCACUUGAAUGAUGCCGCGAUGGAUUAGUUCUUUCAAGUAAUGUUCGGCAGUUUCUUCACCGUGGUAUGGUAUGAAACCUUCAGCUACCCACAACUGAUAUAAUUGCCUCGUAGAUAUCUCAAUACUUGGACAGAAGACAUACAAAUAGAUGCAGCAGACUUUCAAGUGAAAAGGUAACUCCAUCACAGAAAAAAUUUGUCUCCAAAUUGUCGGAAUCGCUUCGCCUCGAAAAUAAUUUUCUAAUGGCAUACUUCCAUAGUGUAGGAUGAAAAAUUGCCAGGCUUCAUGCUUUAAUCUGAUCAAUGGUCCUCCAGUGAGCACCGAAUCAAGCCGAAUCUUCUCUCCGUUUUCCAUUUCCAACGACGCAAGGAGGUUUGGAUCAGUGACCAAUAUCAAGACUCUGCUUCCAUUCUGAUUAUCAGGAAGAACUUCUUCAAGAUCAUCCCAUAUCUCACUGUGAUCAAAGACAUCAUCAAGCACAAUAAAGUACUUCUUGUUUGUUAGGAAAUCUCGAAGAACAGAUUUCUUCAAUUGAUAAUGUUCACCGAUAAUUACACUAACCCGAGAUGGAGGCAUCACAGACUUGAUUAUGUCAUCCAAUAUCUUGCCAAAAUCGUAGAGUAUAGAAACCCUGACCCAAGCAAGACAGUCAAAAUAGAACUUGACAUGAUUAUUGUUGUAAGUAUCAGCAGCAAAAGCAGUCUUGUCGAAGCCACUGCUGUCGAGAAUUGCAACCACUGCCAGCCCAGAUGGUCCCUCAAUCAAUAGAUCAAACAACUCCUCUCUGCCCCGUUCAAAUUCACUGAUAUCAAGCCGACGAUGUCCCUCACUCAAUAGGCGAAUGAUUUCGUUACUUUUUUCACGGAUAUCAAAACCAUUGUCGCCGGGUGGAAGUUGUUGCGUCCGAUUUCUAAUAUCAAUGAUUUUAGUGUGGAGUCCAACAAGAAGAGCCAUAUCAGUACUGCUUUCACUUUCGUUUUCACUGUUUUGCUGCUGCAUGAUGUUGAUGAAGAAUGUGUCAAUUGCAUCCUCAGAUUCAUGGACAAAGACAUUGAUGUCCUCCAGAAUUUCCAAAAUAUCUGCUCUUUCAACAUCUUCUUCAUCGCUUUCUUCUAAGUCCAACAGUUGCAAAAAAGGCAAAGAUAUUUUGGAGUCAUCGAAUUUUUCUCUAAUGAGUUGAAACAAAUGCCGAGCCAUGUCAGCUUCAUAUUUUCCCAGCAGAGUAGUAGCAAUAAUUUCGGACUCCGUAAGAAGGUUUUUAAAAAGUGGAGUUAAUUUUGUUGAAUCUGGCAGCGGCAACGUGCCUUCUUCACCUGCUAACACCCUUUUCAACCUCUCACAAAACAGUCGGAGGUGGAAUUCCAGCAUUUCUCCUUCUCUCCGUAGCACUCAGAGGUAUAGCUGAAAGAUUAAACACCAUGGAAGAAUUUGAAAGGAAAAUGCCAAGAAAUUGUGUAAGUGGCUAAAUUCCACAAAUAUGACAUUAUUGCUCAUUUUUUAACUCAAAAAAAGGGUACGCGUUCAUUUAGAGAAAAGUCCAAGACGCGUGCCUUUUGAAAAGAACAGGUAUCCCAAUCGGUAUCCAACCUUUAUCUUAUUUAAUUACUACCAUAACAUAAUUGAUGGUGCUUAAAUCAAUUGUUUCUUUUUUAAUUUAAAGAAUUUUUCAUUAAAAAAAUAUUUUAAUAUCAAAUACCCUUCAAUGGCAUAACUGCCGCAAGCCCAAAAACAGGAUUAAAUAAUUUUUUUUUUUGAAUUUUUGGUCAUGGAAAGAGCAGUAUUAAACAUCAGAAAGCUAAGGUCGUUAUGUUAAAGAAUUGAUAUUGACAUAAUUUUUUUUGGUUUUCGGGGAAAAAAAAAUUGUUGACAAGCAAGAAAAUAUUUUUAUAUUUUACAAUUUAUUAUACAUAUUUUAUCUUAUUAAAGUAAUUUAAUAAUAAAUAGAAACAUAAUAUUACGAUAAAAAAAUUAAAGUUUAACUUAUUUUGAAUAUUAUAAAAAAUAAUUUUAAUAUUAUUAAUAUGGGGACAUUGUAUUAAUUUUAAAAUUUUUUAACCCAAAGGUUUAUUUAAAAUGUUUAUUAUAAAUACAAAUAUAAAAUUAAAUAUCAUAAUUUAAAAUUUUUAAUAUUAUUUUAAGUAUUAAAAAUAUUUUAAUGUUAUUAGUCUACUACAUAGAUCAUAUUACUUAUAUAAUAUUUGUAUUAUUAAAAAUUCUUAAAAUCAAAUUUUUAGUUAGUAUAUUCAUGAGGUAUUAUGGUUAAAAAAAAAAAGACCUUAUUGUUACUUUUUAAAAAAUUGAGGGCCUUCGUGAUAAUUUUUUCAAAAAGAAAAUACUUGGUAUCUGGGAGGGAUAGAGAAAUAGGACUCCCAAAAUCUCUCACCCUUUUUUAAUUAAAAAAAUUAAAAUAUCAAUAAAAAAUAAUAAAGAAAAUAGAAUUUUAUCUACUCCUUACUUCAUUUUUGCAACUCUCUCACCAUCUCUGUCGAGCAGCCCUCUCUCUCACUCUCUCACUCACACAGUCUUUUUCACGAUUUGAAAUUCUUUGGCCCUUUGCAUUACAAGAAAUUAACGCUUUGGUUCUCCCAAGGGUAGAUUGGUUUUAUUGGGAAGCUAUUAAUUAGAAGGAGGAAAAAGGACUAUAUUUAGAAUAUGAUUUGUUGGAGAAUCUCAGAGUUAGUCAAUUUUCAAGCCACACUUUCAAUAGCCAACUGAUUUAGAAACCAUUAAUUACUUUAAUUUCCAUAAAUUGUAAUGACAGUGCAAAUGCAUCUGGUUGUGAUAGCUAAGGGUUAGCUUGAAGAAUUAAAUUUCAUAAGAUAUUACUGGAAAACGCUUUGCAGAUAACGUGUUGCUUCCUUUGCUAGGCUACAAUUUCAAAAUUCUCACGAGUUUUCCAUUGUUGUCACAAACCGAGAAAUUAUAAAAUACAUGGCCUGGUUCUUUGGCAAUGACCAUCUCAUCGUCGGCGGUCGCGUCGUCAUUGUCACUGGUCUUGCUGGACCGAGACAGUGAGAGAGAGGUUUGUUAGAUGGAGUUAGUGAGAGAGAGUUGUAAAGAUGGAAUGAUGAUAAAGGAUUUUAUUUUUUUUUAAUUGUUUUUAUUAAUAUUUUAAUUUUUAAAAUUAAAAUUUGCUGCCGUUUCUCUCGACUCUCAUAAUUUAUUUCAUUUUUAGGGAAUCCAAUGAGAAAUAUGAUAAAAGAACGUCAAUUACUUGUCAUUUUCAAUUUUUUUCUAUAAGCUAUUUAUUUCGAGCAUUAGUGAUCUUGUCUGGCUACUCCAAUUAUUGACGUAACUCCAGUGGCUGCAUCCACUGGAAAAAGUGGAUGAGAACCAUUUUUUUUUCAUAAAGGUAACUGCUCCAAUUAUUGACAUAAUUGAUGGUGCUUAAAUCAAUUUUUUUUUUUAAUUUAAAGAAUUUUGCUUUAAAAAAUAAUUAAUAUCAAAAUGCCUUCAAUGUUGUUACCGCCACAAGCCCAGUUAGAGGACUCAUUAAAAAUUUUAGAAUUUUUAGGCCUGGAAAGCGUAGUAUUAAACAUCAGAAAGCAAAGGUUGUUAUGUCGAAGAAUUGAUGUCGACAAAAUUUUAUUUUAGUUUUCGGAAAAAAAAAUAUUUUGUUGACAAGCAAGAAAAUAUUUUUUAUACUUUACAAUCUGCUAUACAUAUUUUAUCAUAUUAAAGUAAUUUUAAUAAUAUAUGGAAACAUAAUAUUAUAAUAAAUAAAUUAAAAUUAAAAUUACUUUGAAUUAUUGAAUAUUACAAAAAGAUAAUUUUAAUAUUAUUAAUAGGAAAACAUUUUUUAAUUGUAAAAUCUUUUUAAUACAAAAAAUCAUUUAAAAUCUUUAUAAUAAAUACAAAUAUAAAAUUAAAAAAUAUCAUAAUUUAAAUUUUUUAAUAUUAUUUAAAUAUUAAAAAUACUUUAAUAUUAUUAGUCUACUACAUAAAAUAUAUUAUUUAUAUUAUAUUCGUAUUGAUUAAAACGUUUUAAAGUCAAAUUUUUAAUUAGUGUAUUCAAAGGUAUAAAAGAUUUUAGUAUUAUUUUUUAAAAAAUUUCAGGAUAUGAAUGAUAAUUUUUUUCAAAUUUUAAAGAUGUAAGAAUCUUUUUUUCUGAUAACUUAUUUCACUUUUGAGAGAAUCCGAAAACGUUAAUUUAACAUUCUUUACCUUUAUCUUUUCAAAAAAAAAAAAAACAUUCUUUUUUUGAUAAGAAUGUUUUUUUUUUCUUUAAAAAAUAAUUAAUAUCAAAAUGCCUUCAAUGUUGUUACCGCCACAAGCCCAGUUAGAGGACUCAUUAAAAAUUUUAGAAUUUUUAGGCCUGGAAAGCGUAGUAUUAAACAUCAGAAAGCAAAGGUUGUUAUGUCGAAGAAUUGAUGUCGACAAAAUUUUAUUUUAGUUUUCGGAAAAAAAAAUAUUUUUUUACCUUUGUGAAAAAAGUGAAAAUCAAGAACUAUUCAAUUUUGUUUUUAUUUGUAAUUCAAAAACUUUAUUCAUUUUUGGAUGCUUUUCAAAAGAGAUUCCUUUAAAUCCUUUUGGUGUCUGCAGCUCCUGCCAUUCUCAUAAAUCUCCAUCCCACAUCUACACUAUCAAACAAGUUGAUGGAAAGUCUUAUAAAAAAAAAAAAGUUGAUGGAAAUUGAUCAAUUGCUUUUUGAAGUGGACCCAUUGAGUCAUGUUCAUUUCUGAUCAUUGUCUACUCUUUCUAUCAGCCAUUUAUUUUGACCAUUUGCGAUCUUAUCUGGACCUACUCCAAUUAUUGUUGGAACUCCAAUGGUUGUAUCUACAGUCGAAUGUAAUAUAGUGACAGCUCUUUCUUUGAGAAACUAGAGGGACCUUACAGUUCAUAUAAAUUUCGCUACCUUACAGUUCAUACGGUCUUGCUGUUAAUGAAUUUGCUGAGGCAUUAUUGAUCCAAUCUGAGUGAAGUAAUUGUGGCUGAAAAAUAAAUAAAGGAUAAGAGAACGUAGCUGAAGUGCUGAAGGGGCUAUUAAAGAAGAGUGUCACUUGAUCACAAUCACAUUGAUGCACAAUUCACUUGGCAAAUUUCGACUAUGCGUACUGCAAAUUCAGCCAAACCAUACAUGCAUGAACAAAACUAAAAUGUAGUUCUAAUCACAACUGCAGUUAUGAUGUUUACCCCUCUGAUUUUUCUCCAAAACAAAUUCAGUUCAAAACAAUAAUCAAAAUAGCCACAUUUUGUUCGUCAAAAUAAAUGCCCAAAUUUUCAAUUAACAAAUCAUCUUCUCUAAACUAAAAAGCCCACAUCUCUAAAAUCAAUCUACAUAAUGUUGGACAUGAGGGGUGAAUUGUUAACUCAGUAAAAAAACUCAUGCAUAAUAUUACUAAUAAUAAAAAAUAUAUAUUAAUCAUUAUAAAGAAUCAUAAAUUAGAAAAAUUAAUCAUUUUAUAAUUUAUUACACAAGUAAGAUAAAUCUCAUAAUAAGUUAUAACAUAAAAAAAACGUUAUCAAUAUAUAAUCAUUUAAGAAGUCAUUUAACAAUAAAAUCGUUCUUUGAUCAGUUGGUCAUGUCACAUAAUAUCAUCUAUAUUUAUGGUGAUAAUAUUAUUACUCAGUAUUCUCAAAAAACAUGAUUUAACAUUUAGAGGAAAUUCUUGCCUUUUAAAAAAAACAUGUAUGCAACAGCUACCCAUGCUUUAUCUUGCCAUGACAAAUAUUUUCUCAAUGAAAGAAAUUUUUUUAAAAAUUGAUUUAAUGCACAAAUAUGAUGAUUUUUCCAAAAAUUAAUUUUGGAAAAUAUAGUGAGAGAAAAUAGUGACGAUUAUUGUUUAGAUGUAUAAAUAGCCUAAACAUAAUCCUUAAUACCAAUAUCCAUAUGCAUCUUAUCAUCUUUCAUGAUGUUCUUUCAUUUAUGUCCAUUGGUUCAAGAUUUGAAUUUGAUCAUUAAAUCAUGUUCAAUAAUAUUAGAGAUUCCAACAAUUGAGUACCAACUUAAAUCCCAAUGUUAUGUGUCAUUGACCAAUUAUGUGUCAGUGACCAAUUUUGUGUCAUUUUGUUAUUAACUAGGUGAUGAAUUUCUAGUUGAUAAAAUCACUUAAAAAUAUCUUAAAAAUUAGACAAUAGUUUGCUUAAUUUUUCCAAGUUAACUGCUCAAGAUGCUCUAUUAUAAAUGAUAACCUAAUUAUAUUCAUAAAAAAUGAUAUAUUUUUUUGUGGUGUUGAUAAUGAGAUUAUCAUUCAACGUUUUAAAAUGUGAAAACAUAUGGAAGACGGUUGUAAAUUGAUUGAAUGAAAAUAUUUCAGUGAAGUCUCAAAAAUUUGGUACUUGUUGUCUUAUCGAAAGUUUUCUAAAUUAUAUUCGUGGCACAGCCACUAUCCAAACCAUACAAGUCCAAAGCUAUCCAAACCAUACCUGCAAGUCCGGGGCUUAAAUGGAGUACUUCUAAGCAAAAAAACAUUGAUUAAAAUAGAAUAUAUACAUACAGACACACAUACAUACCAGCAUAUUCAAAAUAGCAAAAGGAGUGCAAAAGUUCAAGUUUGUAGACAACAUUGCAACCAUAGCAUGUUUAUAGCAAAUCCUCAAAAUCUGCUAAAUAAAACAAUGCCCUGUCUCAUGAAUCAAUGCUGAAUUAAAAUUGAAACUGAAAGUCUGGAUGGUGUUGUUUGUUGAGAAUGUCAAAUAAAACGGCAUUGAAGGAAGUUUUCAAAGGCAGAAUCCGCACUUGUCAAAGACACGAUCCGCACCGAACGGAUCGACACAUUUCCUUCCGUAUUCACAUAUGUAAUCUUUGAAAAAAUGUAGCUUCUGCAUCUAUAAAUAACGCUCAGUGUAUAAUGUUUUAUUCAAGAAAUAAAAACAAGUUUCUACAUGGUAUCAGAGUCAUGAAUGCGCUCAAGUUUCUUCAAGUUUCGCUGCUCUGUUUGUCACAAAAACAGAGGAAACCAAAUUCGUCCCACAACCAUUUUUUCCACCAUUUUCUUCCUUAAAAUCAUUCCUAACAUUACAGAAAUCCAUGCCGAUCAAAAAACAUGAAAGACAAAUUACACAUGUGCAGUAACCAAUGAUCAUAUUUCGUUACUGUCAAACACAAUGCAUCUGAGCAAAACAUUGGAAGCCAACACCAGAAUACAUAUGAAUAAACAAUUAAAGAUAGAGAAAAAAGGCUUAAACCUUGGGGGAAAAAAGUGAAAAAACAUGAAAGACAAAUUACACAUGUGCAGUAACCAUCGAACUUAUCAGUGACAGCUGCAUCCAUUACAUUGCUCCAACAACACAAUGGCAAACCACCAGUUUCAAAUUGAGGAUAGCUAUCGAGAAUGAGAAAGUGUCCAAAACAUCAUAAAUAGACAUGUUCCUAUUGUGCAUAAUUUACAUUAUAGGCAAAUAUUCUUAUACCAUCAAAGGCAAAACAUGACACUAACAAUUGAUCCCCCCCCCCCCCCCCCCCCCCAACAACCAAAAAAAAAGGAAAAACAAUACAGAAAAGAUUGAAACAGAUAAGGCUACACUGAGCACAGGAUGCCAUGAAACAUAAUCCAGGAACCAAAUUAAUAAAAAAGGAAGCCAAACCAUUAUUUAACAAUCUGUUUUGUAUUUGGGAAAGUCUGAUAAAAUCUACUUAGGGAUAAUUAGAGAACUUCAACUAUUAAUCACACCUCAUAAAUGAACUAACAUUAACCAUCUACCAUCCCCACGUCACACAAACAUUCUCUAUACUUCUGAACCUAAUACUUCCAUCUUCAAUUGGGGGUUUUUUUUCUUUUUUUUUUUGGGUGGGGGGGGGGGGGGGGGGGGGGAAGCUAUCAAUUUUCUAAGCUUGCUUAGCUUCUGUGUGGGAUUGAAAUGCUGAUUUCGAAUCACUAACAGUAAAAUUGGAAGCUCAUGAAAAAACAGUUUUAUCUCAAAAUUACAUCUCGAUAUAAAUUCUCUUUUCAUUUCCUUCAACUUUCUAAUUAAGCUUAAAAAAUGUACCUUCAACCACAAAGGGGUUUAAAAUUUAAAAUAUAAAAAAUAAAUUCAGAUAACAAUAAUUAAUUUAAUUAAAAAUAUAAAUAGAGUUACAGAGAAAGAGAAAAUAGAGAAAGACCUAAUGUUGAGUCCUUUGGCGCAUGUCUCUUCAUAGGUCCGAACCAUUUCUUCGGGCGUGGGUUACGGCCGAGAUUGGAUAAUGAUGGAGUAGGAUAAGAUUAGCGAUAACGACGCCGAUGAAAUGGAAGGGUUUACCAGAGGAGUGGAUGCGAAGAGUGCAGGGACCGCCGCAGAGAGAGAGCGGCGGAGAGCGGCGACGGACGGUAGUGACCAGCGGAGGCGGAAGAUGGCGGUAUGGGCCAUUGCUUGCGCGUCGGUGAGUGUCUCGAGUGAGAGAGUGAAGGGUUUUGGGAAAUGAAAAAUGCAAAUGUUUGAUUUUGUUGCUAGAAACUUCUUCUGCCGCUGCCUUUUAUUUUCGCUAUAAUAAUAAUAAUAAUUUGUUAAUCAAAUAUUUUCUUAAAAAAGAUAAAUUUCUACAAGAAAAUUUAUAUUAAAUCAAAUUGUAAAAAUGUCUAUUAGGGUUAAUUUCUCCUUAAUAUUAUUAUUAGUUGAAGUAGAUUUUCGAAUUAGUCUUGAUAUAUUUCAGAGUUGUAUUAUAAAUGUAUAAGUAUCUGGAUUGCAAUUAUAUUUUUAAAAAAUAUAAUUUUUUUAAUUAUUGCACAAUAAAUGUAGAUAGUAUCUAUAAAAUAAUAUUAUUAGGACUAUGAAAAAAAUAUUAUUUUAGAGAAGUUAUUUAUUUAUUAUUGAAUGAAUAAUUUAUUAACUUAUUGGUAAAUGAAUAUUUACUAAUUUAAAGAGAGAUUUUUUUUUUGAUUUUAAGAAGAGUUUUGUUGGUACAUAUUCAUACUUAUAAAGAAACACAAAAAGUAGUUCCUCAAGUCAAUUGUAUUUGCUUUAAUUCGUAAUAAUAUAUCUUAAUCAAGAAACUUGUAAUUAUACUAUAUCUUUCUUUCUUUGUUCAGUUUGGUGGUACAUUGUGAUAAAUCAUUGGAUUAAAAUGCAUUUCUAAAUGAAAACUUGUUAAAACCUAAUUUAUUUGGGAACCAUAUUUUAUUUGUCAGUCGUAUUUCUCAACUUAGCAAGUUAUUUCUAACUUAUCGGUCUCUAUUGGUUUUCUUAAGUGCCUGUUUGAUAUGACUUAUUUAAUGGCAAUAAGUGCUUAUUUAAUCUCAUAAGCUCUUAUCAUAAUUUUUGUUAUUGUUUGGUUGUUUUUCUAAUAAAGUUUUUGAAGCUUAAAUAAGUAAUUUUACCUCUCUUAACAAAAGCUCAAAUUUUGAGUUUUUUGGGAGUAGAGAUUGAAAAACUUUUUCAAAUGUCAAAAUAUCUAUAAUAUCCUCUACUUAUUUAACAAUCUUAUUUAUUAUUUUCAUAAUAUAACUUUAAAAGACUUGUCUAUUAAAGUAAUUUCAUAAAUUUUUAAUAAAAACUCUUAUUGACAACCAAACAACUAAUUUUUUUUAGCAAAACCUCUACUUAAAUAAGUUCUACUUGAAAAACUGUAUCAAACGGAGCUUAAAGUUAAUAGUCUCUUAUCUCCCACAUUUGAUAUCUUAAUGGUAUCAGCGUGUUACCUAAGAUUGGGAUUCAUUAAAAUCCUCAAUGUAAUCGGUGGAAUGAAAUGGAUUUUUAUAACCUCCUUGAAGGUUUUACGAUAAACAUAAAUCUAUUGACAAAGUGGGCAAAAAGAAAAUGCAUAUAAAAAUAUGAGUUAUCAGAUAAGAUUAAAACUCACCCAAUUCAAUCCAUCAGAUUCCGUAAGGAUAUAACUGGAUGUCAUACCGCCACUCCAUAUCCUCGAAAGUCCGUAGUCCUUGUCUCAACUGUGUCUGGGGCCAGUGUAAGUCCAAUUUGCGCAAGCUCUUUAUGCACCACAGCUCUUCUGGAAGCUUUCUCAAGUAAGCACAUGGGUUGACAAUUAAGCUUUCAAGUUUCGGCAUUGCUCCAGCCCCCAUCGUCCACUCAUCUAGCCAAUACAUUGAUUUCAAGUGCAAAACCUUAAGUUCGGAAAAGCUACUCAAGCCAACACAAGCAAGCUUUCUUCCUAAAUACGAGUUCUGCUUCAGUUUCAGCACUCGAAGGCAUGGAAGAUUUUCCAGAAUUGGCAUGGGAUCCUCCAUUAGCUCAGUAUUUGAUAAGCUCAGUUGGAUCAGACUUGGGGGAAAUUGGUAUUCAGACAGGACAAUCCGUGAGGGCUUGCUCUCAUUCACCAGCUUCAAGCAUUCAAGUUUGUGGAGUUCGCAAAGGCUUUUGGAAACCCCAGAUUGAUAGCAACUCAAAUCUCCAGAUAUCCGAAGAGUCUGAACACUAGGUAGUCUGCCCAAUAUAUCAGGAGUACAACUACUAGGGUUUAAAGCUGAUAUGAAAAUGAGAUUUUUCAGAGAGCUAGAAUAAUUUUUUGGAGGUGCGGGCAGAGUGAUAGAACCAAAGUUUAGAUGCAUGAGUUUUUGCAUCAUCCAAAUAUCCUCUGGUGACUGAUCUAUGUAGCUAGAUGGCAUUUCUAGUGUUUCAAGGUUUAAAAGGGUGCAUAGCAGUGAAGGAAGGCAUUUGAGCGAAGGGAUAUUCAAUUUCAAAUACUUCAAAAGGAAUGAAUUUUCUAAUCCGGGUGGAUAUUGGUCCAGGACUGCAGAACCCAUGCUCAAUACCCGAAGGUAUUUGAACCAUUUAAAAAAAUUCUCGCAAUCUUUCGGAUUAAGAUGAUCGCUUUCUGAACUGUGAUUCAGAAAAGAUUGGAGAUAGAUGUAAGAAUAUUCUAAAGAAAAGAAGUCAAUCAGAUUUUCCCAAAUGAUGUACCGUUUAACAUUUGCCCUUGAUUCCUUUUCCAUUCCAGGCAUCCAGAGAAAUCCCGUCUCCUGUGCCAACAAUAACAAUGAAGUAUAUACAAAACUUGGAACAUAACACGCUUUAAUUGUGCCUCCGGCGCUUCUCUUACUCACUUGAAUGAAGCCGCGAUGGAUUAGUUCUUUCAAGUAAUGUUCGGCACUUUCUUCACCGUUGUAUGGUAUGAAACCUUCAGCUACCCACAACUGAUAUAAUUGCCGCGUGGAUAUCUCAAUACUUGGAGGGAAGACACACAAAUAGAUGCAGCAGACUUUCAAGUGAAAAGGCAAGUCCAUCACAGAAAAAAUUUGCCUCCAAAUUGUCGGAAUCGCUUCGCCUUGAACAUAAUUUUCUAAUGGCAUACUUCCAUAGUGUAGGAUGAAAAAUUGCCAGGCUUCAUGCUUUAAUCUGAUCAAUGGUCCUCCAAUGAGCACCGAAUCAAGCCGAAUCUUCUCUCCAUUUUCCAUUUCCAACGACGCAAGGAGGUCUGGAUCAGUGACCAAUAUCAAUACUCUGCUUCCAUUCUGAUUAUUUGGAAGAACUUCUUCAAGAUCAUCCCAUAUCUCAAUGUUAUCGCAGACAUCAUCAAGCACAAUAAAGUACUUCCUGUUUGUUAGGUAAUCUCGAAGAAUAGAUUCCUUGAAUUGAUAAUCUUCACCGAUAAUUACACUAACCCGAGAUGGAGGCAUCACAGACUUGAUUAUGUCAUCCAAUAGCUUGCCCAAAUCGUAGAAUACAGAAACCCUGACCCAAGCAAGACAGUCAAAAUAGAACUUGACAUGAUUAUUGUUGUAAGUAUCUGCAGCAAAAGCAGUCCUAUCGAAGCCACUGCUGUCGAGAAUUGCAACCACUGAAAGCCCAGAUGGUCCCUCAAUCAAUACAUCAAACAACUUCUCUCUGCCCCUUUCAAAUUCACUGAUAUCGAGCCGAGGUUGUCCCUCAUUCAAUAGGUGAAUGAUUUCGUUACUUUUUUCACUGAUAUCAAAACCAUUGUCGCCGGGUGGGAGUUGUUGGAUCCGAUUUCUAAUAUCAAUGAUUUUACUGUGGAGUCCAAAAAGAAGAGCCAUUUUAGUACUGCUUUCACUUUCGUUUUGACUGUUUUGCUGCUGCAUGAUGUUGAUGAAGAAUGUGUCAAUGGCUUCCUCAGAUUCAUGGACAAAGUCAUUGAUGUCCUCCAGAAUUUCCAAAAUACCUCCUCUUUUAACGUCUUCAUCGCUUUCUUGUGCCUGCAACAGUUGCGAAAAAGGCAAAGAUAAUUUGGAUUCAUCGAAUCGUUCUUUAACAAGUUGAAACAAAAGCCGAGCCAUGUCAGAUUCAAAGUUUCCGAGCAGAGUGGUAGCAAUAAUCUCGGACUCCGUUAGAAGGUUUUGAAAAAGGGGAGUUAAAUUUGUUGAAUCAGGCAAAGUCAACGCGCAUUCUUCACCUGCUAACACCCUUUUUAACCUCUCACAAAAUAGUCGGAGGUGGACGUCCAGCAUAUCUCCUUCUGUCUGUAGCGCCCAGAGGUAUUGUUAUUUGCUACAAGAAAUGUUAAAACAUAGAGUAAUGAUACAGCCACAAACUCUUGUACAAACUUAUUUUGUACAAACUAAAAUGGCAUUAAUUCAUUGGUUGAAUGAAAAUAUAAAAUAAUAAAAACAAAUCAUGUGGGCCAAGUGAUAUUUAAUUCAACCAAUCUUAUCAUGCCACGUCAAUUUGUACAAAAUAAGUUUGUACAAGAGUUUGUGGCUAUAUCAUUACUCUAAAACAUAUCUCCUUCUGUCCUAUCUCAAAGUGGUUAGUGGUGUAAAAUUAAACACCAUGGAAGAAUUUGCAAGGAAUAUGCCAAGAAACUGGCCAACCCGCUUAGCUAAAUUCCACAAAUAUGACGUUAUUGCUCAUUUUUCUCUCAAACACAUAAUACACGUUCUUCGAGGCGCGUGCCUUCUGAAAAGGACAGGUAUCCAACCUCAUCUUAAUUUAAAGAAUUUUCCUUUAAAAAAAAUUUAAUAUCAAAAUGCCUUCAAUGUUAUUACUGCCGAAAGCCAAACUUCCUUUGGGUAAUUAAUUUAGAAGUUAAGCAGAGAAUAAAGUCCUAGAUUAAAUGUUUAGGUAGUUUUACAAAAUGAUAACAGCAUGCCAAAACUCGUUGUUGUCAUAUUCGACAUUUCAAAUUGAAAAAUAUGCAAGCAAUCUUCAGUGAACAUUACAUGUUUAUUGAAUAAUUUAAAUGGCCAGUAAAUCAACAGUCCGUGAGUUUUAAAUCUAUUAUGACUUAAUGUAUCUUUCUGUAUUCGUACACAGGUUAUAUUAUCAUAGUUUAAAAUUAUUUUAAAUAUUAAAAAUACUUUAAUGCUAUUAGUCUACUACACAGGUUAUAUUAUUUAUAUUAUAUUUGUAUUAAUUAAAACUUUUAAUGUCAAUUUUCUAAUUAUUAUAUUAAAAAAGUAUUAUGGUUAAGAAAAAGUUUUGGCAUUUCUUCUUGAAAAUUUGAGAGUCUGCAUGAAAAUUUUUCCAAAUUCUAAAGGUAUAGGUUUGAAAAUUUAACGUUCUGUAAAUUAAUGAAACAAAAGGGGGGAAACCAAAAACUAUUCAAUUUUGUAUUUUUUGUUUGUAAUUCAAAAAAUACAUCCACCAAACAAGUUUUACGCAUUAAUGCUGUCAUAAAACGAAAAACAGUUUGCCAAAAAAUGGUACCAAACAUUUCCUUAAUGUCUCACAUGAUUUCUUAGUAAGUCCAUAUUAGAUAUAUUUAUACAUUUUAUGUAUUUUAGUUAUAAAAGAAGUAGGUCCUCCCCCUGUUUAUAAAAAAUAACUUUAUUUCGAGAUUGCCACUAAACUCUUACAUAGAAUUAGUGUAAUGUUAAGAGAGAGUAACACAGUUUUCCAUUACCAUCUUUGAAAAUAGAGAGAUAUGGAUGCAUGCAUUUAAGAGUUAUCAUGAAAAUCAUACAAUUCAAUUUCCUGACAUAUAUAUUUAUGCACGUAUACCAAAAGAAUAAAUAGACAGAAAGUAAAUUUACAGUCCUCACUUCCUCACAAUUGUUAACGUGAAGAUGCAUUACAACUGUGAACUGUCACUACUUUAGCCUUUUUUUUUAAAAAAAAAAAAUUAUAGUGUGAUGGAGACAUCAAGGAUGAGCAUAAAAGUUAAAGAUGACUCAUUUUCUUUUUAAAGUGCUCUGCUGAAAGCCAAACUUCCUUUGGCUAAUUAAUUUAGAAGUAAAGCAGAGAAUAAAGUUCUAGAUGCCUUCUGAAAUUAGAAAUACAUUUUAUAUGCUUUAAUUAUGAUUAUUUGGUAGACUAUUGACCUAAAAGACAUGUUAAAUUAUAAAACAGUGCGAUUAAAAAAAAGAGAGUAUUUGUGACGUAGAAUAACAAUUGGUAAAUAAAUCCUAAAUAUUUGAGUUGUUAAAAGCAAAUAUAACAGAGACGGUAAGAGAGAUGCAGAAACAGAAAACUAUUAGCUUAUCUUGAUUUUCCCACUAUAUUCAUUUUCGAUGCUUUUCAAACGAGAUUCUUUUAAUUCUUCUGGUGUCUGCAGCCCCUGCUCUUCUUAUAGAUCUCCAUCCCACAUCUGCACUACGAACAAGUUGAUUAAAAUUAAAUAAUGUUGGAGACGUGGGGUGAGCCGUCAACUUGGUAAAAAAACUAUGUAUAAUAUUGUUAAUAAUAUAAAAUAUAUAGUAAUAAUUACAAAGAAUCAUAAAUUAGAAAAAUUAAUUAUUUUACAAUCUAUUUCUUAAGUAAGAUAAAUCUCAUAAUAAGUUAAGUUAUAAUGUAAAAAGUAUUUUCAAUUUAUAAUCAUUUAAGAAGUCAUUUAACAAUAAAAUCUUUCUUUUGAUCAAUUGGUCAUGCUACAAAGUAUCAUCUAUAUUUGUGGUGAUAUUAUUAUUACUCCGUAUUCUCAAAAAACAUGAUUUAACAUUUAGAGAAAAUUCAUGCCUUUUAAAAAGAACAUGUAUGCAACAACUACCAAUACUUUAUCUUACCACAACAAAACUAAUGGUGACUAAAUCAAUUUUCUUGAUUAAAGCAAAAUUUCUUAAAAUUGAUUUAAUGCACAAAUAUGAUGACUUUUUGCAAAAAUUAGUUUCGGAAAAUAUAGUGAGAGAAAAUAGUGACGAUUAUUGUUUAGAUGUGUAAAUAGCCUAAACAUGAUCGCUAAUACCAAUAUCCACGUGCAUCUUAACACCUUUCGUGAUAUUCUUUCAUUCAUGGUCACUGGUUCAAGAUUUGAAUUUAAUCAGUAAAUCAUGUUCAAUAAUAUUAGAGAUCCCAACAAUUGAGUACCAAUUUAAAUCCUAAUGCUAUAUGUCAUUGACCAAUAUUGUGUCAUUUUUUGUUAACUGGGUGAUGAAUUUCUAGUUGAUAAAAUUACUUAAAAAUAUCUUAAAAAUCAGACAAUAGUUUGCUUAAUUUUUUGAAGCUAACUGCUCAAGAUGCUCUAUUAGAAAUGAUAACCUAAUUAUAUACAUAAAAAAUGAUGUAUUUUUUGCGGUGUUGAUAGUGAGAUUAUCAUUCAACAUGUUAAAAUAUGAAAACAUAUGGAAGAUGGUUGUAAAUUGGUUGAAUGAGAAUAUUUCAGUGAAGUCUCAAAAAUUUGGUACUUGUUAUCUUAUCGAAAGUUUUCUAAAUUAUAUUCGUGGCACUGCCACUGCUUCUAUGUGAAGGUCAUUAAAAUUUGUGUUAGCUACCUAUAGGUUGAAUAACAAUUUUAUUCAUCAAUUGUUGCUCAAUAUAGCAAUUUGAUUGAAAGUGCCGCUGCACUAAUUUUCUAGAUGAACUUUCCUACAUGUUUGUCCUCAUAUGACCUAGAAUGCUGCGAUAUCAAUUGUAUUGGAAAUUAUUCAGGUGGGUUAGUGCUCUACAUCCCCACCAAAAUAUAAGCAAUGAACAAAACAUUCCUUGUGGAAAUAAACUUAAUUAUUUCGCUACUAGACUUCUAAUGAGGCCCAUUUUCCAGAAUCUGGAUACAAGUUAGAUGUCUCCCAAAAUAUUGGUGGGAGUAGACUAUAGUAGCACUCGACAACAUACUAACGACGCUAUGGUCCACCAGAAAGACCGGUCUCCGGUCAGCCGAAAAAUCUCACGUUCAGUCUCUUCUCAAUCUCCCUUCUCCCAGCCAAGUCGAUCCCGUAACAUGAUACUAAUCCACAGUUGAAUACAUGAUACUAUUAGAUCUUAUUUGAGAAUAUAAAGGGAUCUUUCUAAUUUGAGAACAUAAAUUGCCCAAUAAAGUUGAACUACGUUACCCCGCUCCAUGCACAUACAUUAAAUGUUAACAGCAUGCCAAAACUUGAUGUUGUCAUAUUCGACAUUUCAAAUUAAUAUGCAAGCAAUCUUCGGUGAACAUUACGUUUUUAUUGAAUAAUUUAAAUGGCUAGUAAAUCUAGAGUUCUUGAGCUUUAAUCUAAAUCAAAUCUAUUAUGACUCAAUGUAUUUUUUUGUAUUCGUACCAGUAAUGCAGGGGAUUAUUUACGGAACUCUUAUUAUUGACUGAUAUGUUCACCUUCAUCCAAUUAGAGAAAGAGUGACUGUAGAGGUGGCAAAAAUACCCGUCCGGUUCGGACCCGGACCGUACCCAUUACCCAGCCCGGGUAUGAAGCCGGGUCGGUCUUGGGUAUUACUUGAUAAACCCGGAACUCGGAUUUUAUUAAAAAAAUUAUAAAAUAUAUAUUAUUUUAAAUAUUUUAUAUUUAUUUGACUCAUUUAUUAUACAUAUAUAAAGUUUUAAACACUUAAAGUAUAUAUUUUCUUGUCAAAUUUUAUUGAAAUAAAUUUAAAACUUAUAAAAUUACUAAAAAAUAAAAAAUAUAUACACAUAAAAUAUUAAAAAAUAUAAAAUUCGGGUACUCGAAUUAAAACCCAGCCCGAACCCGGACCCAGACCGGUUGCAUCCGGUAGGGUCCGGUCAUGGCAAUACCCUGACCCCGCCCGGGGUUUUGCCAUCUCUAAGUGACUGGGUUCCUAUAAAGGGACUCUUAACCGUUACGAGAGUAUUCAGACUAAAAAUCUUUAUAAUUAAAUUCAAAGGUGAAGAUCUAUGCUUAUUAUCUAUUUAACAACUAAUAUAUAGUUAUCUAUUCAUUUAAAUAUCAAGGGCUAUGCUAAUAAUUAAGUUGAAAUGUUGAUGAAAGUAGCCCUACAUCUGUAUAUUACUCAUCUACUCUAAUCUUUUUUUUUUUUUAACUUAAUGUACUUUUUCUAAUGUUGUUUACUCUUCCCCCCCCCCCCCUCCUCUGACAAAAUAAUAAGAGUUUAGACUUGAAAAUAUCUUAAAGAUCAAACAGUAAUUUACCUAAUUUUUUGAAGCUAACUGCCAAAGAUAUUCUAUUAGACAUUGAUAACGUAGUUAUAUACAUUUAAAAUGAUUUUUUUUUUUUGUGGAAAGGGAUUAUCAUUCAACAUUUUAAAAUAUGAAAACAUAUGGAAGAUGAUUGUAAAUUGAUUGAAUGAAAAUAUUUCAAUGAAGAUGGUUGUAAAUUGUUAUCUUAUUGAAAGUUUUCUAAAUUUACUACUAUUUGAACUUAGCCCUCCUGGUACCGCCACCAUUUCUGCUUGAAAGUCAUUUAAGUUUGUGUUAGCUGCCUAAAGCUUUUUUUUUUUCUUUUUCUUUUUGAAAAGAGCUGCCUAUAGCUUGAAUAACUAUUUUGCUCACGAAUUGUUGUCCAUUAUAGCAAUUUAUUUAAUUGAAAGUGCGGCUGCAAUAAUUUUCUUGAUGAACUAUUCCACAUGUUUGUUCUCAUGUGAGGCAGUUUUUCUAGAAGAUUGAUAUUUCUUUAAGUCUUUAACUAGCAAAGCAUACCAGUCCAAAGCUAGCCAAACCAUACCUGCUGGUCCAGGGCUUAAAUGGAGUACUUCUAAGCAUAAAACAGUAACAAAAACACAAUAUAUGCAUACAUACAUACCAGCAAAUUCAAAAUAGAAAAAAGAGUGCAACUAUUCAAGAAAUUGGUUAUUGUAGACAAACACACAUACAAACACAUACCAGAAAAUUCAAAAAAUAGAGAAAGGAGGCCAACUAUUCAAGUUUGUAGACAAUAUUGCAAUCAUGGCAUUACUUAUAGCAAGUCCUUGAAAUCUACUAAACAAAACAAUGCUCUGUCUCAUGAAUCAAUGUUGAAUUACAGACGAAAUUGAAAGUCUAGCAGGUGUUGUUUCCCUCUUCGAUUUUGCCUACACAAGUAAAGGGAAAUAAGAAUCAUAAAUGAAAAUCAGCUUUUACAGUUGUAAUUAUUAGAUAGAUCUAGAACGAUCUUUCUUUGUUUCUCUGCUGCAAUGUGCUAUCCCACUCUGUUUUGCUACUAAAAUUGAGUCUAUGUUGAGACAUAAUUUCGACACUAGGAGCAACCGCAAUUAGUUUGGCAUUGCAUUACCCCUUGAAGGUUUUACAAUAGUUGUAAACUUACCGAGAAAGUAGAAAAAAAAGGGCAUAUGGAAUUAGGCAAGUAACUAAAGUAUGAGUCAUCAGAUAUGAUUAAAACUCACCCAAUUCAAUCCAUCAGAUUCCGUAAGGAUAUAACUGGAUGUCAAAACGCCACUCCAUAUCCUCGAACGUCCGUACCCUUUGCCGCAACUCUGUCUGGGGCCAGUGUAAGUCCAAUUUGCGCAAGCUCUUUAUGCACCAUAGCUCUUCUGGAAGCUUCCUCAAGUAAGCACAUGGGUUGACAAUUAAGCUUUCAAGUUUUGGCAUUGCUCCUGCCCCCAUCGUCCACUCAUCUAGCCAAUACAUUGACUUUAGGUGCAAAAUCUUAAGUUCCGGAAAGCCACCAGAGUCAACACAGGCCAACUUUCUUCCUAAAUACGAGUUCUUCUUCAGUUUCAGCACUUGAAGGCGUGGAAGCUUUUCCAGCUUUGGCAUGGGAUCCUCCAUUAGCUCAGUAUUUGAUAAGCUCAGAUGGCUCAGACUUAAAGGAAAUUCGUAUUCAGACAGGACAAUCCGUGAGAGCUUGCUCUCAUUCACUAGUUCCAAGCAUUCAAUUUUGUGGAGUUCGCAUACGCUUUUGGAAACCCCAGAGUGAUGGCAACUCAAAUCUCCAGAUAUCUGAAGCGUUUGAACAUUAGGUAGUCUGCCUAAUAUAUCUGGCGUGCAACUACUAGGGUGUAAGGAUGAUAUGAAAAAAAGAUUUUUCAGAGAGCUGGAAUAAUUUUUUGGAGGUGCAGGCAGAGUGAUGGAACCAAAGUUCAGAUGCAUGAGUUUUUGCAUCUUCCAAAUAUCCUCUGGUGUUUGAUCUACGUAGCUAGAUGGCAUGUCUAGUGUUUGAAGGUUUGAAAGGGUGCAUAGCGGUGAAGGAAGACAUUUGAGCGAAGGGAUAUUCAAUUUCAAAUACUUCAAAUGGAAUAAAUUUUCUAAUCCGGGUGGAUAUUGGUCCAGGACUGCAGAACCCCUGUUCAAUACCCGAAGGUGUUUGAACAUUUUACAAAAAUUCUCGCAAUCUAUCGGAUUAAGAUGAUCGCUUUCUGAACUGUAAUUCAGAAAAGAUUGAUUAGUUCUUUCAAGUAAUGUUCGGCCGUCCCCUCACUGUUGUAUGGUAUGAAACCUUCAGCUACCCACAACUAAUAUAAUUGUGUGGUAGAUAUCUGAAUGCCUGGAGGGAAGACAAACAAAUAGAUGCAGCAGACUUUCAAGUGAAAAGGUAACUCCAUCACAGAAUAAAUUUGUCUCCAAGCUGUCGGAAUCGCUUCGCCUUGAAAAUAAUUUUCUAAUGGCAUACUUCCGUAGUGUAGGACGAAAAAUUGCAAGCCUUCAAACUUUAUUCUAAUCAGUGGUCCUCCAACGAGCACUGAAUCAAGCCGAAUCUCCUCUGCGUUUUCCAUUUCCAACGACGUAAGGAGUCUUGGAUCAGCGACCAAUAUCAAUACUCUGCUUCCAUUCUGAUUAUCAGGAAGAACUUCUUCAAGAUCAUCCCAUAUCUCACUGUCAUCGAAGACAUCAUCAAGCACAAUAAAGUACUUACUGUUUGUUAGGUAAUCUCGAAGAAUAGAUUUCUUCAAUUGAUAAUCUUCACCGAUAAUUACCCUAACCCGAGCUGGAGGCAUCACAGACUUGAUUAUGUCAUCCAAUAUCUUGCCAAAAUCGUAGGCAAUAGAAACCCUGACCCAAGCAAGAGUCAAAAUAGAACUUGACAUGAUUAUUGUUAAAAGUAUCAGCAGCAGAAGCAGUCUUAUCGAAGCCACUGCUGUCGAAAAUUGCAACCACUGAUAUCGAUAGAUCAAACAACUUCUCUCUGCCCUUUUCAAAUUCACUGAUAUCGAGCCGAGGUUGUCCCUCAUUCAAUAGGCGAAUGAUUUUGUUACUUUGUUCACUGAUAUCAAAACCAUUGUCGCCGGGUGGAAGUUGUUGCAUCUGAUUUCUAAUAUCAAAGUGAAAAAUUGCUGCUUUCACUUUCGUUUUCACUGUUUUGCUGCUGCAUGAUGUUGAUAUUGACAUAAUUUUAUUUUAGUUUUUGGGGAAAAAAAUAUUUGUUGACAAGCAAGAAAAUAUUUUUAUAUUUUAAAUUUAUUAUACAUAUUUUAUCAUUUUAAAGUAAUUUUAAUAAUAAAUAGAAACAUAAUAUUACGAUAAAUAAAUUAAAGUUUAAAUUAUUUUAAAUAUUAUAAAAAAUAAUUCUAAUAUUAUUAAUAGGAAGACAUUUUGUUAAUUUUAAAAUUUUUUAACCCAAAGGUUUAUUUAAAAUUUUUAUUAUAAAUAAAAAUAUAAAAUUAAAUAUCAUAAUUUAAAUUUUUUAAUAUUAUUUAAGUAUUAAAAAUAUUUUAAUGUUAUUAGUCUACUACAUAGAUCAUAUUACUUAUAUUAUAUUUGUAAUGAUUAAAAAUUUUUAAAAUCAAUUUUCUAGUUACUAUAUUCACGAGAUAUUAUGGUUAAAGAAAAGACCUUGGUGUUACUUUUUACAAAUUUGAGUGCCUACAUGAUAAUUUUUUCAAAAUUUAAGAAUGUAUGUAUCCUUUUCUCCAAUAAUUUAUUUCACUUUUGAGGGGAAUCCAAUGAGAGAUAUGAUAAGAGAACGUCAAUUAGUUGUCAUUUUCUACUUUUUCUGUAAGCUAUUUAUUUUGAGCAUUAGUGAUCUUGUCUGGACUACUCCAAUUAUUGAUGUAACUCCAGUGACUGCAUCCACAAUUGAAUAUAUGAUAGUGUUAGCUCUUAUUUGAGAAUUUAUAUAGUCUUGCUGUUAAAGAACUCACUGAGGCAUUAUUGAUUCAAUUUCAGUGGAGCAAUCGCGGGUGAAGGAUAAAUAAAGGAUCAGAACAGAGCUGAAGUGCUAAAUUGGCUAUUGAAGAAGGAUGUCACAUGAUCACAAUCACAUUGAUGCACAACUCUCUGGAGGCAAAUUUUGUCUUUAUGUACUCUAAAUUCAGCCAAACCAUACAUGCAUGAACAAAAAUUAAACCGUCGUUCUAAUCACAACAGUAAUUGAAGCUCCAAAAGCAAGAAAAUCUGAACAAAGACUUAAAAGAAAGAUCUUAUUCAAGUUUGUCCCCAAAAGACAGCUGAAAUGAAAAAUAUUGACUAUUGAAUGGAUCAAUGCUGAAUUACAUUUGAAAUGGAAAGCUUGGCUGCAUCUAUGAUGUUUCCCCCUCUGAUUUUCCCCCAAAACAAAUUUAGUUGUAAACAAUAACGGAAGCAGCAAUAAUUUAUUCACCAAAGAAAAUGCCCAAGAUUUCAACUAACAGAUCCUCUUAUCUAAACUAAAAGAACUCAUAUCUCUAAAAUCUACCCGCAAAAUGUUGGAAAUGAGGGAUGAUCUGUCAACUCGAUAAAUAAACUCAUGCAUAAUAUUAACAAUAAUGGUAAAUUACAUAAUAAUUAUUAUAAAGAAUCAUAAACUGGAAACACUAAUCAUUCUACAAUCUAUUAUAUAAGUAAGAUAAAUCUCAUGAUAAGUUAAGUUAUAACGUGAUAAAUAUUUUCAAUAUAUAAUUAUUUAAGAAGUCAUUUAAUAAUAUAUAUUUUUUAUUUUGUUGAUCAUGUCAUAUAGCGUUAUCUAAACUCCUGACAAAAUUAUUAUUACUCACUUUUCUCAAAAAAACAUGAUUAACGUUUAGAGAAAAGUCAUGCCUUUUAGAAAGAAUAUGUAUACAAGCUAUCCAUACUUUAUCUUACCGUGACAAAAUUGAUGGUGAUUAAAUCUAUUUUUAAAAUAGAUUUAAUGCACAAAUAUGAUGACUUUUGGCAAAAAUUAGUUUCGGAAGAUAUAGUGGUAGAAAAUAGUGAUGAUUAUUGUUUAAAUGUGUAAAUAGCCUAAGCAUAGCCCGUAAUACCAAUAUCCAUUUGCACCUUCAUUUGGAUUAUCACAUUUCAUGAUAUUUUUUCAUUCAUGUCCAUUGAUCAAGAUUUGAAUUUGAAUAUAAAUUAAGCUGCAAGGGAGCUUACUUCGGUUUCUAAGCUUUCCAAUUGUGAUUCCUGCAUGCCUUGCUCUGAUACUAUUUUGUUACAUACCAAUGUAACCAACCUUGUAAUUGGUCUGUAUAAGAAAUCAAGCCCUUUUAGAAUCGUUUUCUUUUGUUUCCCCAUUGUAGUAGUCAACUAAAUAAAGAAUGAACAACUGAACUUGAUCUAUUUUGAUGAAGACCAAGGCCUUCAAUACUAGAUGAACUUUGAAGAAGAUUAAUCUACUGCUUUUAUUCAUCUUUGGACUAUGAAUUUAUACAAAGACUUUAACAGAAAAUAACAAAGACACAACUAAAUGAUAGCAACAAGUGUUGACUUACUGGACCACUUCUACAAGUAAAAAAAAACUAAAUAUUUAUUUUGACUAUAACAACAACUACCCUGAUGAACAACACUCCACAGCAGCCACGUGACAACUAAUUUCUCCUUAAUAUUAUUAUUAGUAGAAGUAGAUUUUCAAACUAGUCUUGAUAUAUUUCAAAGUUGUAUUAACAAUUUAUAUGUAUCUAGAUUGUAACUAUAUUUUUUAAAAAUAAAAUAUUUUAAUUAUUGCACAUUAAAUGUAGAAGAAUAUCUGUAAAAUAAUAUUAUUAGGACUAAAAAAUAUUAUUUUAGAUAAGUUAUUUAUUUAUUAUUGAAUUAAUAAUUUAUUAAUUAUUAGCAGAAGUAUAUUUUCGAACUAGUCUUGAUAUAUUUCAAAGUUGUAUUAACAAUGUAUAGGUAUCUAGAUUGUAACUAUAUUUUUAAAAAAUAAAAUAUUUUAAUUAUUGCACAGUAAAUGUAGAAGAAUAUCUGUAAAAUAAUAUUAUGAGGACUAAAAAAAUAUUAUUUUAGAGAAGUAUUUUUUUAUUAUAGAAUUAAUAAUUUAUUAAUUAAUUUAUAAAUGAAUAUUUAUUAAUUUAAAGAGAGACUUUUUUGGUUUUAUGAAGAGUAUGUUUGGUACAUGUUCACACUUAUAAAGAAACACAAAAAAUGCUUCCUCAAGUCAACGGUAUUUGCUUUAAUCGCUACUGUUCAUAAUAAUAUAGCUUAGUUAGGAAAUUUGUAAUUAUAAUAUGACUCUUUUAGUACAACUUUUCAAGUAGAGUUUAUUUAGGUAGAGAUUUUGUUAGGAGAGGUAUUAUAAAUAGAGAUUUCACUAAAAAAAUUUAAUUAUUUGAUUAUAAUAUCCAAAUUGAAGAACUUUUGUUCUUUUGUUAACAUCUGUUUGUUUUACUUAAUAAUAAAAGUUUAGUUUACAAUUACACCGGUGUCAAAUCAGCAGAGCAUCGGCAAGAGUUUUCGAUUGUUGCAAUUUGCAAUGCAUGCGGUACAUGCACGCACUAAUAAAGAAACACAAAAAGUGCAUUCUCAAGCCAAUAGUAUUUGUUUUUAAUCGCUACUUUGCAUAAUAAUGUAGCUUAGUUAGGAAAUUUGUAAUUAUAUUAUGCCUCCAUUUGGUAUAAUUUUUUAAUUAGAACUUAUUUAAGGAGAACUAUUGUUUGUAGAGUUUUUAUAAAUAGAAAUUUUAAUUAAAAAAAAUUAUAAUUAUUUAGUUGUCAAUGUCCAAAUUGAUGAACUAUUGUUCUUUUUGUUAACAUGUGUUUGUUUUACUUAAUAAUAAAACUUUAGUUUACAAUUACACCGGUGUCAAAUCAGCAGAGCAUUUUUGCAGCCCGUCACAUUAUACAUUAUACUAAUAGCAUCGGCAAGAUUUUUCGAUUGUUGCAACUUGCAACGCACGCGAUGCGAGAAAAUGAGAAUCUUGUUUAAUUGUGAAUAAUGACAAACCUAAUCCUUUCAUUAGGAGCAAUUUAAUAAUCGUUUGUUAUAAUUGAAUAGGUAUAAAGAAAGGACAACUCUAUUCAUAGAUUCGGCUUAUUUUUUGUUUAAAGUAAUUAAUCCUCUAAAACUGAAUUUUAUUUUAUCUGGUGCAUGUUAAAUGAUGUGAGGCCUAAUUUAGGUUUUUGGUUAGCGAAUCAAUUUCAAAGUGUGCUUAAACGGUAUAGGACUUUAUUUCCUGGUCCAUACAUUACUCUGUUAGCUAUAAACCUAUGUGUGCUUGAUCCCGACAAUAAUGAUUUGCAUCCUGCUUGCAAAAAGGAAUUUUUGGAUAUGUCUGUGUUUGAAAGAACAGGUGUGGUCGAAUUCAAGAAGGGGAGAUUUUAGUUUACUGAACCAGGACCCACUCAACUUCCGAAGAAGCUUUAUGCUAGGAGUGGUGCUACCUCUGAUGACGAGUUUGACGACGACACUGCUGCCCCGCCAACUAUUCCUUCUACAUCCGCACCACCUUUGAGCAUUCAGUUAGAGAAAAUGGAGCACAAGCUGAACAAGAUGGAGCAGAAUUUGGCCGCAUACUUCGAGAGUGUGGGAUUUACCCCACCAUUUUCGCCAAGCCCAUAGACGUUAUGUGGAUCAAAGCUCACAAUUCAGGGAAGUUUCUUUUUGCCCUUAAUCUUUUAUCCUUACGCUUUAAUUUUUAUGUGAGCUUUGAUUAUCUUACAUUGGGGACAAUGUAAGUUCUUGGUGUGGGGGAGGGAUUUUGAUGUCUGGAAUUAUUAUUUUCACUCUACUCAUAUAUUUUCACUCUACUCAUCCUUAAAUGAUUUUGGAGUUAGUAUGCUUCAUACAUUAUUAAUUUUCUUUUCCUCUCUCUCUCACUACUCUUUUCCCAUCUAUCUCAAAUUAUUUACAUCUAUUUUUAUUCUAUCAUACUCUUUCAUCACUCACAUUUUAUCUUUCACUUUUCAUAUUACUACAUACAUCUUUCUCACUUCUUAUCAUUUUUACAUUUUCUUUUAUAUAUCACUCAUACCUUCUUCUCAUUCUACACCACUAUUGAUGGUUGAUUCAUUUGAAGAGUGUACAUGAUUUGAUGGCAAAUUUACCAACUUUGUGAGGAUUUGAGCCUAUGAGCAACCACUUUGCUCUAAUAUUUUUGUUGUGUGAAUAUCAAUCUUAGUUUGUUUAUUGUAGAACUUGCUUUGUUAUGCAUGUUGAAGCCGCAUUACGGGAUUUUAUGCAUUAAAAUGAUAAGGGCAAACCCUUUUCCAUUUUUCUAUUCUCGCAUUUUUUUUUCUCUACCCGAAGACCUUUAUUUGCUAUCUUUGUUUGAGCCUUAACCAUUACCCACCUAAUUUUCUCCGUCUACUUAACCAUUUUUCUUCUUUUUGAGCCUCAAUUUACGGAGAUUUUUGGACUCAUUGUGUGGAUGUAUUUUGUUGCUUUUUCUACCUUGUAAUAAAGUUUCUCAAUUAGAUCAACAAGCAUUAUGCUUGAAUUAAAUUGUGCAAGGUUCGUUUCUUUUGUUUGAUUCAAAAAUAAAAAAAAACAACAAAAAAAAAGAAAAAGAAAAAUCCAAAAAAAAGAAAAAAAAAUGUUUACAUUCUUGGUGACUUGAGUAGAAAUAAGUAUUUUGAUAUCAUAAGUUCAUUCAAUGAGUUCAUUCUUCUCAUUUUGAUCUCUUUUUCUUUCGUAAACCUUUCUUUUUCAUUCAACCUAUUUAACCCCAUUACAACCCUUUUAAGACCCUUAGAUUUUUGCAUUUUAUUCAUGUUUUGUGGAUUGAGAUGUGAUAUAUGAGCAAGCUUAUGGUAAUAGCAUUCUUUGAUUUGAUUUGAGUGAAUAAAUGACACCCUAAACACUUUGAGUGCAUGGAGUGAAGUUAUUGAGAGGGCUAUUAAAUCUUGUUGCACUUGAAUUUUGAAUGGAUCUUCUUGGUGGUUGAAUGUUCUUAUUCUAUCUUAUGAAAUUCUAUGCUUUAAAAUCCUUGUCUCUUGAAUGUUGAUCGACUUAAUUUCUUGAGGUAUGCUUGCUUAAAAUUGUUUUUGGAUGAGUUGAGAUGAGAAUUGAGUGGAGAUUUGAGAUUAAUCUUGAGUUAUAUGCUUGAGGACAAGCAUCAUCUUGGUGUGGGGGAAUUUGUUAGAGUGCAAUUUAUGCACUAGUUUUGCAUUGUUUACUUCCCUUAAUAUCGAUGUUUUACACUUAAUAAUAGUGAUUUACUUGUGUUUUACUUUUGUAGGUGCAAUUCUAUUGAUUGGUGAUAAAAUUGAGCUAUAAGAUGAUGUUUAAGGAUGAUUGUUCUCUUGGAGAAAUUAUGAGCGGCAGAAGAACUUUGUUGAUAAGGCGUGGGCGCGUGCUGUCAACUGCGGACCUGCAGUUUUUAGUUUAACAUGUUUUGUAUUUUUGUAAUUACGAAUUUAAUAUUUCAGAUAUUAGUAUUUUAUUUUAAAUAGAAUUCUAAAAGAGAGGAGAGAGAGAGAGUAUUUAAGGGAGGAAUCUAUUGUGAAAAAGGGGGAUUUAGAUUGGAGAAAAGAAAAUAAACCCUAAAUCUAAUUUUUCUCUUCUCUCUAUGAAGAACUAAACUUAUUUUUUCUGGUUGAAGGUUAAUGAAGCUUUGAUUCAUCACUACUGUGAGAUCUUUUUUAUGCUUUAAUUGUUUUAUUACUUUUUGGGUAAUUGUUUAUUCUCUGAAUUAGUUUCAUGAUUAUGUUUGUUAAUUAGGUAAUUGGCCACUAUUUAAUUAUCAACUUAAUCUAUUGUCAAUUAAAGGAUUCAUCGUAUGAAGAUUUUAAUGUUUGUGACAAAUAACAUAGCAGUGAGUUGUGUUAUGAGAAUAAACAAUCUAAUUUAAAUGAAUCAUCAUAUGUGUUGAUUAGGAUUUGGAUCUCUCUGGUUUUUCAGGCUGUCAAUUGAUUAAAUCCUAUGAUCGUAUCUAGGGUUGUCUAUUGAUUAGGGAAAUAUCCAACGGUCGUACCUUGGUUAUCGACUAGUUAAGGAGAGAUUGGCUAUUAGAGGGUCUCAAUAGCUAUAACCGGUCUAUUCAUAAGUAAUAAUAAUCUAUAUUUGAAUCAAUGAUCAGUAGUCGAAUCAAGCUGAGUUAAUUCCUUCAACCAGAGCUUUCUCUAAUUUGAAUUACAACUUUAAUUUGCAUUCUUGUUAUUUUAAUUUGAUUUUUAUUAUUGUCAACAAUUCCCCCAUUUUACUUUUUACGUUUCAAAAGGAUUUAAAUAAUUACCGAUCUCUGUGGACACGACCCUGCUCAAUCACUAUACACAAUUUAUUUAGAGUAUGAAUUUAUUUUUGUUGGCUUCGACAACCAUCGGUAGUAAAAGAAUUUUACUCCAAUUUGGUAAGCCCUGGUCAGCACAACAUUUGGGUAAGAAACUCACUUGUUCCAUUAGACUCUCGAGUUAUAAAUGUUUUUUAUAAUUUACCUGCUGAAAUUAAUUGUGAGUAUGCCAAGUUGCUUGACAAAUUGACCCCGCAACAAUGGAACACGAUUUUCACGACACUUACAGUAGAGGGUGCAUCGUGGGCUAAUGAGGACGGGCGUGUAAUUAACAGGAUAGAUUUAAAACUCAUUGCUAAGGUGUGGGUGAAAUUUCUGAAAUCUAGGCUUAUGCCAACCACCCACACCACUACUGUUUCACAGGAAAGGUUGGUGUUGUUAGAUGCUAUUGUUAGAGGGCUUCCCAUAGAUGUGGGAAGUAUUAUCGAAAAAGAAAUUCGAGUUUGUACCAUGAAAAACCACAAGGCUGCUGCCUUGUUAUUUCCUUCACUCAUAACCAGCAUAUGUAUAGUAUCAGGUGUUCAUCUUGAUGCAAAGGAUGAAAUUUGUAAUUAUAUUAUGGCUCCAUUUGGUAUGACUUUUUAAUUCGAACUUAUUUAAGGAGAAUUUUUAUUAGUAGAGUUUUUUAUAAAUAGAGAUUUUACUAAAAAAAUAAUUAUAAUUAUUUAGUUGUCAAUGUCGAAAUUGAUGAACUAUUGUUCUUUUUGUUAACAUGUGUUUGUUUUACUUAAUAAUAAAAGUUAAGUUCACAAUUACACCGGUGUCAAAUCAGCAGAGCAUUUUUGCAGCCAGUCACAUUAUACAUUUUUGCAACUUGCAAUGCAAGCGACGAGAGAAAAUGAGAAUCUUGUUUAAUUGUCAAUAAUGACAAACCUAAUCGUUUCAUUAGGUGUAAUUUCAUAAUCGUUUGUUAUAAUUGAAUCUGUAUAAAGAAAGGAAAAUUAUAUUCGUAGAUUCGACUUAUUUUUUGUUUAAGGUAAUUAAUCAUUCAACCAUCUUCAUUUGCCCCUGGCCACUGCCCUUGUAGAUUAGUUGAAGCGUUAAUUACUUAAUUUAGAUAAUUACAACGUCCUUUUCGCUAAUUAAUUAUGAUUAUAUACGUUUUCAUAUAGCAAGUGGCAUUGUAGAUCUAAAUUAUGUUGCUAUUUCAAUACGUUAAUUAAGUGAUUCUCCUCAUUGUCAUCAAGUGGAAAAUAGCUCAAUUGUUUCCCUGCAUCGAUUUUCAUUGGUAAGUGAUUUCUUAUGAUAUUCGUUUGAGCUUUCCUUAUUAAAAAAGCUUGAGCCUUGAUCACCUAAUACUGAUAUCAAUUUACUUGUGAACGAUUUUGUAAUGAAAUUAGGAGUUAAAUAUAUAAGAUUUUUACCUGAUGAAUUUUGAUUUUUUUUUUAAUUUUUUGAUGUAGUCAAUUUGCGAAUUUUAUAUGUUUCAUAUUCAACGGAAUUUGGGCACGGAAAGUUUGGAUUCUAAUAUUUAUAUAUUUAGCUUUAAUCAGUUUGACUUUAGCAAUCUUUUUCCCUCAUCAUUAAGGGAUUCAGAAUUAGAGAAACGCUAGGAAGAGGAAGAAAAUAACUUUGGAAAUAAGUAAGGGGGAAAAAUUAUGAAAUUUUGAAUUAUUUUUUGUAAAAUAUGUUGCGUUUACUAAACUUGAAUUAGAAUGAGCUGAAAUUAGAAUGAUUAGGAAUGCAAAUGUGCUGAAAUCGGAAUAGGUAAUGAGAAUAAGAAUAAGUUGUUUACUUGAACUGUAAAAAUCAAAAUCGAAAUGAGCUGAAUUGCAAUUACUUUAUCUUGGAAGCGGAAUUGGAAUCGGAAUGAGUUAGAUUGUAACAAAUUACUAAAAAGUACUUAAUGAAUUAUUGUCAUAAUUAUUAUUUUAUAUUUUAAUUAUAGUGAUUAUUUAUUCAAAAAUUAUUAUUAUUAAUUAUUUUCAAUAAUAUAUUAAUAUGUUAAUUAAUUUUAAAAAUUAUUAAUUAAUUUAUUAUAAUAAUAUACUAAUUAAUUAUAAUAAUUAUAAAAAUAUAUUAAUAAUAAAAUUACUAAUUUAAUUAUAAUAAUAUAUGAAUUAAUUAUAAUAAUUACUAAAUUAAUUAUAAUAAUUAUAUUAGUAAUUAUUAUAAUAGUAUAUUAAUUAAUUAUAAUAAUAAAAAUAUAUUAAUUAUGUGAUUAUUUAUUCAAAAAUUAUAAUUAUUAAUAAUUAUUGUUAAUAAUGUAUCAAUAUACUAAUUACAUAUAAUAAUUAUUAUAAAAAUAUAUUAAUUAUUAAUAAUAAAAUUACUAAUUUAAUAAUAAUAAUAAUAAUAUAUUAAUUAUGUGAUUAUUUAUUCAAAAAUUAUAAUUAUUAAUAAUUAUUGUUAAUAAUGUAUCAAUAUAUUACUUAAUUAUAAUAAUAUAUUAAUUAAGUAUAAAUGAGGACAAAGGGGGUAUUUUUAAUUUCACGUAGGGGCAAAAUGGUCAAUUCUAGUAAUGGGAGACUCACUCCCACCCUCUCCCUUGGGAAUGAGUCUCCCAUUCCUCAUUCCCAAAUUGUGGUGGGCCCCAUGAUUUUGACUCUGAUUUUUGACUCAAUUUUGCGAAGUAAACGCUACUAAUGAUUCUGAUUUUGGAUUCUGAUUCACUUAUCCGAGAAGUAAAAGCAACAUAAAUGUGUAUGAAUAAUUGAUACCUAUGAAUAGUUUUGGGAGUUUUAGUUAGGAGUCAUUUAUUGAAGAUGUUUAGCAAUUAAAGAUCUCUGACUCAGUAGUUUUCCCAAUCAAAAUCAAGAAGCAAAACAACUUGCCAUUUUUCUACUUGAUAAUUAAUUGAAAUUUAAGAAAAUACAAUGGCAUUUCAAUUAGAAAUGGUAAUUGUUUAUCUUUUUUCAUUGAUCAAAUUCUAAUCGUGAUCCAAUAGUUAUGGAUGAAGGAAAUAUUAUGAGAGGCGAUAGGCCAAGUGAAGACGUACCAGCAAAUUCAAAAUAGUCGGGAGGUGGACGUCCAGCAUAUCUCCUUCUCUCUGUAGCACCCAGAUGUAUUGUUAUUUGCUCCAAGAAAUGUUAAAAGGAUUGGCCCUAUCUCAAUGUGGUUAGUGGUGAAAAAUUAAACACCAUGGAAGGAUUUGCAAGGAAUAUGCCAAGAAACUGGCUAAGUUCCACAAAUAUGGCAUUAUUGCUCUUUUUUUUUAAAGAAAAAUUAUACACGUUAAUUUAGCAAAAAGUCUAAGACACAUGCCUUUUGAAAAGAAUAGCUAUUACCAUGACACAAUCGAUGCGGCUGAAACCAAAAUUUUCUUUUCUUAAUGUAAAGAUUUUUUUUAAAUAGAUUUUAAUAUUAAAAUGCCCUUCGAUGUUAUUACUGUCACAAGCCCUGUAACAGGAGUAAUAAAAAUUUUUAGAAUUUGUUGGGCAUGAAAAAAGUAGUAUUAAACAUCAGCAAGCAAAGGUUGUUCUGUUAAAGAAUUGAUAUUGACGUGAUUUUAUUUUGGUUAUCGAGAAAAAAAAAUAUAUUUGUUGAUAAGUAAGAAAAUAUUAUUAUAUUUUACAAUCUAUUAUACAUAUUUUAUUAUAUUAAAUAACACUAAAUAGAAACAUAAAAUUAGAAUAAAAUAAAUUAAAAUUAAAAUUAUUUUGAAUAUUAUGUAAAAAAUAAUGUUAAUAUCAUUGUUACUUGUAAAAUAUAUUUAGCCCAAAGAUUUAUUUAAAAUUUUAUAAUAAAUAAAAAUAUAAAAAUAAAUUAAAUAUCAUAGUUUAAAAUCUUAAUAUUAUUUUAAAUAUUAAAAAUACUUUAAUGUUAUUAAUCUACUACACAUGUUAUAUUAUUUAUAUUAUAGUUGUAUUAAUUAAAAAUUUUAAAGUCAACUUUCUAGUAACUAUAUUCAAAGGUAUUAUGGUUAAAUAAAGGUCUUAGUGUUUCUUUUCAAAAUUUGAGGGUCUACAUGAUAAUUUUUCCAAAUCCUAAGGUAUAGGUGUCCUUUUUAUCAAUAAUUUAUUUCACUUUUGAGAGAAUAUGAUGAGAAAUAAGAUCAGAGAAAUGUCAAUUUAAUGUUAUCUAGCUUAAUGAUAAAAAAAUGGAAACCAAGAACUAUUCAAUUUUGUAUUUUUUGUUUGUAAUUCAAAAAAUCCAUCCACCAAACAAGUUUCACGCAUUUAUGUUAUCAUAAAACAAAAAAAAAAACAGUUUGUGAAAAAAUGGCACCAAACAUACACUUAAUGUCCCACAUGAUUUCUUAUGAAGCCCAUAUUAGAUAUAUUUAUACAUUUUACUGCAUUUAGGACAUGUUUGAUAGCCUGCAUUAUAUAGGAUAAAAACACAAUUUUGUAUUAAAUUAAUGCACACUCACGUUUGGCGCUAAAAGUAACUCCAGCCACAUUGCAUUAAUGGACUGCUAAUGCGGCAAUUGCCGCACUAGCUUGCCUCUUUUUCUUUUUAAUUUUAUUUAUAAUAAUAAUAAUUACAUAAUAUAACUUUUUAUUUUAAUAUAAUAUUAUAUAAUAUUAAGUAUAAUUUUUUUUACAUUAUAAUUAUUGAUAUAAAUUAAUAAAUUAAUUAUUUAUUAUUCAAUAAUAUUAUAUUAUAUAUUUUUUUUAUUUUUACAUUAUAAUUUAUUAGUAAAUUUAUAAUUUAAUAUAAUUAAUAAUAAUAGAAAAUAUCAUUACAUGUACUACAAAACUCUUACUUGGAUUAUUUAACACAAUUUAUUUUAUUCGUGAAUAUGUUAUAACAAUUGUAUCACUUUAUUAUUUUGUUAUUAUUUUGUGGUAUGUAUAAAUUUUUGUUCUAUUAUCCUAAGAUGACUUUUGAACUAAUCUUAUAAGUUUUAACUAUUUAUUUAUGUUGUUAUAUUAUUAGAGAUUAUUUGCUUCGAUCUUUAUUUUACAGGUCAUAUAUUUAGAAAUUACUGAAAAAUAAAUGUUAUACUUCCCAAAAUUUAAGGCUAGAAGCUCGAUCUUUAUGAAGAAUUUUGAUAUUUUUUAACAUUUACACUAAAAAAAAUUGUUAAAUUUCUAAAAUUUAAGACUUCUAUAUUUAAUAUUUUUCUAAUUACUAAUAAGUAUUAUUUUCUAAAUAUAUAAUUUAAAUUAAUCACAAAAAAUUAAUAUAGUACAGUGCAAUAUCAAAUAUAGUAUAAUUAAAAAUUAUACAGUGCAAUAUAGCACCAAAUAUUGUACACUAUUAUUAUAAUAUAGUACUAAUGCAAUACAAUAUAAUACAAUAUAGUGUGCCAAACGCACCCUCAGAAUGUGUUUGGAACAUGGGAUUAUAGGGUAUUAAAACACUGUUCACAUUAGCUUAAUACCAAUCUCAUGUUUGGAAAGAAAUUUUAAGGGAUUAAAGGGGGGUGAGCUAAUGUCAUAACUGCGUCAUUAGUGUCUUGGUUUUUUUUAAAUAAUAAAAAAAAUAUAAAUUCCUAAUUUUAUGUAAAAUUAUAUAAUAUUAAUUUUUAUUUUCUUUGAUCUUUACAUCAUAAUUAUUAAUAUAAGUUAAUAAAUUUAUAAUUUAUUAUUCAUAUUUUAAUUUUUAUUAUAUUAAAAAUAUAACUAAAUAAUUUAAUUUUAAUUCUAUAAUAAUUAAUGUAUAAAAUUGAUUAAUAUUUAAUAAGUCAAUACAACUAGUAAUAAGUGCUUAAAUAAUAUAUAAAAAUAAAAAUAUAACAUAAUAUUACAUUAUUUAAUUAUAUUACAAUAACUAAUAUAUAAAAAUUGAUUAUUAUUUAACAAUUUAAUAUAGCUAAUAAUAGAUACUUAAAUAAUAAUUUAAUAUAACUAAUAAUGAAUAUUUAUAUAUGAAUAUAUUUAAAUAAUAUUAAUUUAAAAUUAAUACCAAUAUAUAUAAUAAUAUAAAAUAUUAUUACAUGUACUGUAGUAUUCUUACUUGGAUUAUUUAGCGCAAUUUAUUUUAUUAGUGAAUAUGUUACAAUUAUUGUAUCACUUUAUUAUUUAAAUUAAUCAAAAAAAUUAAUACAGUACAAGAUAGCACUAAACAUUAUAUAACAUUAUUAAAAUACAGUGUUAAUGCAAUAUAAUGUAAUACAAUACAUCUAUAUUAAAAUAAUAUAAUAUAAUAUAAUUUAAUAUAAUACAAUAUGUCAAAUGCACCCCGUGUAUUUUAAUUUCAAAAGAAGUUGGUCCUUCCUUUAUUUAUAAAAGAUAACUUUAUUUUCAGAUUACCACUAAUUACGAUUAUUUGGUAGACUAUAGACCUAAAAGACAUGUUAGAUUAUAAAACAGUGCGAUUAAAAAAAAAAGAGUAUUUGUGACGUCAAAUAACAAUUGGUAACUAAAAUCCAAAAUAUUUCAGUUGUUAAAAGCAAAUAAAAAAAAGAAGGUAACAGUGAUGCAGAAACACAAUAUUAGCUUAUCUUGAUUUUCCCACUUUAUUCAUUCUCAAUGCUUUUCAAAAGAAAUUCUUCUAAUCCUUCUGGUGUCUGCAGCCCCUUAUCACGGGACGAGAGGUUUUGAGCCCGCGUGGCACUCUCGCAUCCCAUACUACGAGAGUAAACCUAGUGGAAGUGGCACAAUAUCGACUGGUUUCACCCUGCCUUGGGCUCAUCAGGAGAACGGCUCCAGUUCCCAACCAGUGUGUGUAGGGCUUCGCUUAGACUCCUCUUCAACGUUAAAUCCUCGACUAGCAACAAGCUCCCCAAAGUCAACUGGGUUGGCCUGCCUGAACUCCAAGAAAUCUAGGAUCAUUGUAUUCCCCACACGCACGCCCCUGAAGCACGUCUCCUGCAAUCAGCACAACUAUUAUCGAUACUAGUGUACAAGCGCAUAUCUUCGGCAUCACAAUUGCAGUCCGUGACACCCUGCUCUUCUUAUAAAACUCCACCCCAAAUCUAUACUACAAACAAGUGGAUUGAAAUUAAAAAAUUGCUUUUUGAAGUGGACCCAUUGAGUCGUGGUCAUUACUCGUCAUUGUCUAUUUUUUCUAUGAGCCAUUUAUUUUGAGCAAUAGUGAGCUUCUCUGAACUACUCCAAUUAUUGAUGUAACUCCAGUGGCUGCAUCCAUAGUUGAAUAUAUGAUAGUAUUAGCUCUUAUUUGAGAAUAUAGGGGGAUCUUUCUUUGUUUCUUUGUUGCAAUGUUCUAGUAUAUAGUCUUGCUGUUAAUGAAUUCACUGAGGCAUUAUUAAUUCAAUUUCAGUGAAGUAAUUAUGGAUGAAAAAUAAAUAAAGGAUAACAGAAUAGAGCUGAAGUGCUGAAUCGGCUAUUAAAGAAAGUGUCACGCGAUCACAAUCACACUGAUGCACAACUCUCUCGAGGCAAAUUUUGUCUAUAUGUACUCCAAAUUCAGCCAAACCAUACAUGCCUCAACAAAAUUAAACCGUAGUUCUCAUCACUACAGUAAUUGAAGCCCACAAAGACAGCUGAAAUGGAAACUUAAAACGAAGAUCUUAUUCGAGUUUGUCCCCAAAAGACAGCUGAAAUGGAAAAUAUUGACUAUUGAAUGGAUCAAUGCUGAAUUACAUUUGAAAUGGGAAGCUUGGCUGCGGUUACGAUGUUUCCCCCUCUGAUUUUUCUCCAAAACAAAUUCCGUUGUAAAUAAUAUUCAAUGUAGCAACAAUUUAUUCAGCAAAGAAAAUACCUAAUUUUUCAACUAACAAAUUCUCUUGUCUAAACUAAAAAAACUCACAUCUCUCCAAUCUAUCUACAAAUUUGGAGAUGAGAGGUGAUUUGUCAACUCGGUAAAUAAAUUCAUGCAUAAUGUUACCAAUAAUUAUAAAUUACAUAAUAAUUCUUAUAAGAAUCAUAAUAAAGGAACCUUAACCAUUUUACAAUCUAUUACAUAAGUAAGAUUAAUCUUAUAAUAAGUUAACUUAUAACUUAAUAAAUAUUUUCAAUUCAUAAUUAUUUAAGAAGUCACUUAACAAUAAAAUAUUUUUUUAUUUAAUUGAUCAUGUCAUAUAACGUUAUCUAAACUCCCGACGAUAUUAUUAUUACUCACUUUUCUCAAAAAAACAUGACUAACGUUUAGAGAAAAGUCAUGUCUUUUAGAUUGAUAGAAUACGAUUACAAACUAUCCAUACUUUAUCGUAGGCUAUAGAAACCCUUACCCAAGCAUGACAGUCAAAAUAGAACUUGACACGGUUAUUAUUGUAAGUAUCUGCAGCAAAAGCAGUCUUAUCGAAGCCACUGCUGUCGAGAAUUGCAACCACUGAAAGCCCAGAUGGUCCCUCAAUCAAUAGAUCAAAAAACUUCUCUCUGCCCCUUUCAAAUUCACUGAUAUCGAGCCGAGGUUGUCCCUCACUCAAUAGGCGUAUGAUUUCGUUCCUUUUUUCACUGAUAUCAAAACCAUUGUCGCCGGGUGGAAGUUGUUGCAUCCGAUUUCUAAUAUCAAUGAUUUUAGUGUGGAGUCCAACAAGAAGAGCCAUAUCAGUACUGCUUUCACUUUCGUUUUCACUGUUUUGCUGCUGCAUGAUUUUGAUGAAGAAUGUGUCAAUGGCUUCCUCAGAUUCAUGGACAAAGUCAUUGAUGUCCUCCAGAAUUUCAAAAAUAUCUGCUGUUUCAACGUCUUCUUCAUCGCUUUCUUCUAAGUCCAACAGUUGCAAAAAAGGCAAUGAUAUUUUGGAGUCAUCUAAUUCUUCUCUAAGGAGUUGAAACAAAUGCCGAGCCAUGUCAGCUUCAUAGUUUCCCAGCAGAGUAGUAGCAAUAAUUUCGGACUCCGUAAGAAGGUUUUGAAAACGUGGAGUUAAAUUUGUUGAAUCUGGCAAAGUUAACGUGCCUUCUUCACCUGCUAACACCCUUUUCAACCUCUCACAAAACAGUCGGAGGUGGAAUUCCAGCAUAUCUCCUUCUCUCCGUAGCACUCAGAGGUAUAGCUGAAAGAUUAAACACCAUGGAAGAAUUUGAAAGGAAAAUGCCAAGAAAUUGUGUAAGUGGCUAAAUUCCACAAAUAUGACAUUAUUGCUCAUUUUUUAACUCAAAAAAAGGGUACGCGUUCAUUUAGAGAAAAGUCCAAGACGCGUGCUUUUUGAAAAGAACAGGUAUCCCAAUCGGUAUCCAACCUUUAUCUUAUUUAAUUACUACCAUGACAUAAUUGAUGGUGCUUAAAUCAAUUGUUUCUUUUUUAAUUUAAAGAAUUUUUCAUUAAAAAAAUAUUUUAAUAUCAAAUUGCCUUCAGUGGCGUAACAACUGCCUGAAGCCCAGUAACAGGACUAAUUAAAAAUUUUACAAUUUUUGGGCAUGGAAAUAGUAGUAUUAAACAUUAGAAAGGUGAGGUUGUUCUGUUAAAGAAUUGAUAUUGACAUAAUUUUAUUUUGGUUUUCGUGGAAAACAAAAAUAUUUGUUGACAAGCAAGAAAAUAUUUUUAUUUUUUAAAAUUUAUUAUGCAUAUUUUAUCAUAUUGAAGUAAUUUUAAUAAUAAAUAGAAACAUAAUAUUACAAUAAAUAAAUUAAAAUUUAACUUAUUUUGAAUAUUAUAAAAAAUAAUUUUAAUAUUAUUAAUAGGAAGACAUUGUAUUAAUUUUAAAAUUUUUUAACCCAAAGGUUUAUUUAAAAUCUUUAUUAUAAAUACAAAUAUAAAAUUAAAUAUCAUAAUUUAAAAUUUUUAAUAUUAUUUUAAGUAUUAAAAAUAUUUUAAUGUUAUUAGUCUACUACAUAGAUCAUAUUACUUAUAUAAUAUUUGUAUUAUUAAAAAUUUUUAAAAUCAAAUUUUUAGUUAGUAUAUUCAUGAGGUAUUAUGGUUACAAAAAAAAGACCUUAUUAUUACUUUUUAAAAAAUUGAGGGUCUGCGAUGAUAAUUUUUUCAAAAAGAAAAUACAUGGUAUGUAGGAGGGGUAGAGAAACAGGACUUCCAAAAUCUCUCACCCUUCUUUAAUUAAAAAAAAAAUUAAAAUAUUAAUAAAAAAUAAUAAAGAAAAUAGAAUUUUAUCUGCUCCUUACUCCAUUUUUGCAACUCUCUCAACAUCUCUGUCGAGCAGCCUUCUCUCUCAUUGUCUCUCACUAUUUCACGAUCUCUCUCUCACUCACACAGGCAAUGACCAUCUCAUCAUCGGCGGUCGUGUCGUCAGUGUCACUGGUCUUGCUCGACCGAGACAGUGAGAGAGAGGUUUGUUAGAUGGAGUGAUGAUAAAGGAUUCUAUUUUUUUUAUUAAUAUUUUAAUUUUUAAAAUUAAAAUGUGCUGCCGUUUCUCUUGUCUUUUUAGCUGUUUAGCAGCACUCUUUUCAAAAUUUAAGAAUGUAGGUGUCCUAUAAGAGAUCGAUAAAAGAACGUCAAUUAAAUUUAUAAAAAUAUGAUAAAAGAACGUCAAUUACUUGUCUUUUAGGGAAUCCAAUGAGAAAUAUGAUAAAAGAACGUCAAUUACUUGUCAUUUUCAAUUUUUUUCUGUAAGCUAUUUAUUUUGAGCAUUAGUGCUCUUGUCUGGACUACUCCAAUUAUUGACGUAACUCCAGUGGCUGCAAUUAAUGAUAUAAAGCUGAGACUUUUGACCAAGUUAUCUAGUUGGGAAAGCAAAUUUUUUUCCAGUGGGGGCAAAGAAGUGUUGAUUAAAACUGUUGCUCAGGCUGUGCCAGUCUAUGCAAUGAGUGUUUUUAAGAUCCCUCAUAGCUUUUGUGAUGACAUUGAGAAGGCUAUUGCUCGUUUCUGGUGGGGUUCCUCUGAAACAAAAAGAAGCAUUCACUGGACAAGGUGGGAACGGUUGUGCCACGCCAAGAUAAGGGGGGGAUUGGGUUUUAGAGAUUUCUCUAGUUUUAACCAAGCCUUAAUUGCUAAGCAGGGGUGGAGAAUUCUGCAGCACCCUGACUCUUUAAUGGCAAAGAUUCUGAAAGCAAAAUAUUUUAAGCAUACUGGUUUUAUGGAUGCGAAAUUGGGUUCACACCCCUCUUUUGUUUGGAGAAGUAUAUUAUGGGGUAGGCAAGUGCUCCAUAACGGCCUAAGAUGGAGAAUCGGCUGUGGGAGUCAGGUUUUAAUUUCCAGUAGCAAUUGGAUAAAAAACCAUAAGCUUCACAGUUUGGUUCCAUAUUCAAAUCUACCUCCUGAAACUGUAGUUGUUGACCUUAUUGAUGAAAGUCACCAAUGGAAAGAAGAUAUGGUUUUCCAACAUUUUCCAAUGGAUGUUGCAAAGAGGAUCACAAGAACCCCUCUCCCAAAAACUCCCCAGCAGGAUCUUCUCAUUUGGAAAUAUGAUAAGCACAGAAUUUACUCGGUGAAGAGUGGGUAUCAAUUGGCUGUUAAGCAAAAAUUCCAAAAUUAUCCAAGUUGUUCAGAUGUUACCAAGUCAAGGUGGGAGGUGAUAUGGGCUACGGAUCUUCUAGGAAAAGUCAAGAUUUUUAUUUGGAGGGCUGCUCAAAAUCUUCUCCCUACAGUUGGAAAUCUAUGGAGGAGGAGGGUGGUGAAGGAUUAUUUUUGCCAAAGAUGUAAUUGCAGAGGAGAGGAUGUCUUCCAUGCUUUAAUAGAGUGCAGGGCAGCUAAAAGGGUUUGGAAGUUGACUGAAUUUUAUGAGGAUGUAAAGCAAUUAGCUCGGCAAGACAUGUUGAGUGUGCUGCAGGAUUUAGCUGUGAAGAGAAAAAAGAAUGAGCUGGAGCUUGUUGUUGCGGUGUGCUGGGCCAUCUGGUACUCUAGGAAUCGUUUGGUGUUUGAAGGAAAGGAAGAAGAUCCAAAAACUUCAGUGGCCAGAGCAAUUGCUAUGGUGGAAUCAUACAGGCGAAUAAAAGUUCCAAAUGAACAAAAUUCUCCAGGCCAUAGCAGAAUCAGUCAACUAGAAUGGGCAAAUCCUCCAAAGGGGUGUUAUAAAGUCAACGUUGAUGCUGCAAUUAAUGUUUCAAACCAAAAGGCAGGGUUGGGUGUAGUGUUUAAGAGUGACUAACUAUCCCAAUCAACUCAAAACACUUCCCAAGAUCACACCCAAACAAACAAGAUGUACCAAGAAUCAAUCCAGUAGAAUACACACAGAUUAUUAGAACUGAAAGAAUUAAAGAAAAGGACAAGAAUUAACGUGGUUCAGCUAGCUUCAGUCUAGCUUACAUCCACGGGAGAAACAGAACCCAAUUGUAUUGAUUGUUUAAAGGAGUUACAGAGAGUUCAUCAAGCUUGUUACAGAGUCUCUCAAGAAGCCUUUUGUUAUUAAUCUUCUCAACUCACAAUAGCUCUCUCUUCUUUUUUCUCAGUUGCCAGAAUCAGCUGUAUAUAACAGCUUGUUAACGAAUCAGCAACCAACCCAGAAACCCACGUGACAGUCAUGUGAGUUAACUGAUUCUAACGAACCAAGAACGCAACUUAUCCAUGCACGUGAAACUCUCGUGCAUCACUUAACCAAAACGACCUUCAUACAUGUCGUUCCAGGAGAUACGAGUUUGACUUUCCAAAACGCAGCAUCAGCUGACGUUUUCACAAACAGAUUUGCUUCACAUCACAACAAUUCUCCACCUUGAACAAAUCACUCUCUGAUCCUGAUUUCUCCAACCUGAGUAUUUAGAAUUCACUCAGCCCAGCUUUGUCCAAGCCGCUCUUGAACUUAGCUGUAGUUACAACCUUAGUAAGCAUGUCAGCAGGAUUAUCAUCUGUAUGCACUUUCACCAUGCUAAUCACACCUUUAGAGAUCACAUUUCUGAUAAAAUGUAACUUGAUAUCUAUGUGUUUAGUUUUUUCAUGGUGAGCUGGGUUCUUACUCAAGUAAAUUGCACUUGAGCUGUCACAAUGAACUUCCACAGUCUCCUGCUUCAUCCCCAGUUCUGUUAUCAACCCUCUCAGCCACAGAGCUUCCUUGACAGCUUCUGUUGCAGCAGUAUAUUCAGCCUCUGUUGUUGACAAAGCUACAACAUGCUGCAAUCUUGCCUUCCAGUUAACAAGGCAACCAUCCAAGAAAAACAUAUAGCCAGUUAAAGAUCUCCUUCUGUCUAAGUCCCCAGCAUAGUCUGAGUCAACAUAACCACAGAGACCUGCAAUCUUUCCAGCUGAUUUUCCAUAUACCAACCCAUACUGUUGUGUACCUUUCAGAUACCUCAGCACCCAUUUAACAGCCUUCCAGUGCUCCUUUCCAGGUGUAGCCAUAAACCUACUUACAACACUUAAAGCAUGAGCUAAGUCUGGUCUUGUAAGUACCAUUGCAUACAUCAUGCAACCAACAGCAUUUGCAUAAGGAACCUUUGUCAUUUCAUUCCUCUCUUCAUCUGUACUGGGGCAUUGUGAACAUGACAGCUUGAAGUGAGAUGCAAGAGGGGUUACUACUGACUUGCUGUUUGACAUCCCAAAAGUUCCCAGUACCUUCUCUAGAUACUUCCCUUGAGACAGAAUCAUAGUACCCUUCUUCCUGUUCCUUAUUAUUUCCAUACCCAAAAUCUUCCUAGCUGGACCCAAGUCUUUCAUAUCAAAUUCUGAAUUGAGCAGUUGCUUCAAAGCCUCAAUCUCUUCCCUUUCAUUACAAGCAAUCAACAUAUCAUCUACAUAUAACAGCAGAUAUAUGUAGUUGCCUGAUUGUAUGAUCUUGUAGUAAACACAUACAUCAUAGCUGCACCUUAGAUACCCAUGAGUGACCAUAAACUCAUCAAAUCUAAGGUACCACUGUCUGGGUGAUUGUUUCAGCCCAUACAGUGACCUCUUCAGCAGACACACACAGUCAGCAGAUUCAGGACUUGUGUACCCUUCAGGCUGUGUCAUCAAGAUGUCCUCAUUUAAUCUUCCAUGUAGAAAGGCUGUCUUGACAUUGAGUUGAUCAAGCUCCAUGUCUUUUACAGCUGUUAAAGCCAGUAGCACUCUGAUUGAUGUGUGUCUGACUACUGGUGAGAACACCUCUUUGAAAUCCACUCCAGCCCUCUGUGUGUAACCCUUGGCCACUAACCUAGCUUUGAAUCUUCUAGGUUCAGUAGCUGUUAGUCCAUCUUUGACUUUGUAGAUCCAUUUACAUCCUACUGUUCUGCUGUUGGCAGGUCUUUUAAUCAGCUCCCAUGUAUUGUUCUUCUUCAGUGAAUAGAUUUCCUCAUCCAUGGCCUUUUUCCACUCAUCUUUGUAUGGUCCCUGGAUAGCCUCUUUGUAGUUCUUGGGUUUAUCAUCAUCAAUUUGAUGAGAUGCUGUUAAUGCAUAGGCUAUCAGAUCUGCAUAUCCAUAUCUGACAGGUGCUUUUGCUUUCCUUCUUUCUCUGUCUCUUGUCAGCUGGUACUCCUGAUGCUGAGCUUCAGUCUGCUUUACAUGAUCAGUUUCUAGAUCAGUAGCUCCUUGAUAAGAGUCAUCUUCAUCUUCUGAAGCUUCUCUAGUGUAGGGCUCCACCUCAAACUGAAUCUUGGUUCUCUCCUUCUCCUUUGGUGUAUCUGUGUCAGUAGGUUUCUUCAUUUCCAGUGCAGCUUUCUCAUUGAAUAUUACAUCUCUACUGAUUAUGCACUUGGGGGGAUUAAGGUCUGUACACCACAGUUUGAAGCCUUUAACACCUUCAGGAUACCCAAUGAACUUUCCUUUAAGGGUUCUUGGAGCUAACUUCCCUUGGCUCACAUGUGCAUAAGCUGGACAUCCAAAUACUUUGAGGCUGCCAUAGUCUGCUGGUUUUCCAUGCCAUUUCUCAAAUGGGGUUUUGAAGUCAAGUGCUGCAGAGGGACUUAGAUUUACCAGAUAGCUUGCUGUUAACAGAGUCUCAGCCCACAAUCCUUUUGGAAGUUGUGACUGGAUCAUCAUGCUUCUUACUCUGUCCAUCAGGGUUCUGUUCAUUCUUUCGGCUAACCCAUUUUGUUGAGGAGUCAGCCUUACAGUUCUAUGCCUUGCAAUGCCAUGAUCUGCACAGUAGCUAUCAAACUCCUGAUUGCAAAACUCAAGACCAUUGUCUGUUCUGAGUUUCUUUACCUUCAAUCCAGUUUGAUUUUCAACCAGGGAUUUCCACUCUCUGAAUUUUCCAAAUACCUGAUCCUUGUGCUUUAAGACAUAAACCCAUACUCUCCUUGAAUAAUCAUCUAUUAAAGACAAGAAAUAGGUGUUGCCACCUAGUGACAUUGUCUGUGCUGGUCCCCAUAAAUCUGAGUGUAUGUAUUCAAGGAUGCCUUUUGUUGAAUGAACUGAUUUUCCAAAGCUACUUCUUGUAGCUUUGCCUAGUACACAGUCUUCACAAAAAUUCAGUUCUGAGAUUUGACUGCUGCCUAGAACCCCUUGCUUCUGUAAUUCUUUCAGACCUCUCAAGCUCAUAUGUCCUAAUCUAAGGUGCCACAGCAGAGUGUUAUCACAGCUUGAACUGAUUAACACUCCUGACACACCAGUUAUAGCUUCCCCAUUCAAAACAUAAACCCCAUUUCUCUUGUAACCUUUCAUAACUAUCCCAUCUUCAUUUGAAAUUCUCAGCUCACCAGAUUCAAGCUUAAUGCUAAGCCCCAUUUGGUCAAGCAUACCUAGAGAUAUUAAGUUCCUUUUAAGUUCAGGAACAUACCUAACUUCCCUUAAUUCUCUUAUUGUUCCAUCAUGCAAUUUUAGGUUUAUAUUUCCUAUCCCCGCAAUUUUACAAACAGCAUUGUUACCCAUCAUAACUUUUCCUCCAUCAGUUUCAUGAUAGUUUAAUAGGUAAUCUUUAAAGGGGCACAUAUGAAAUGUACAACCUGAGUCUAGAAUCCAGGUACCUUUUUGCACAUGCUCUGUAGCCACACAUACUCCUGCUGACUCAUACCCCUCUUCCUCAGCAGUAGCAGCAGCUCCAUUUUGUUCCCUUUUCUUGUUCUUGAGUUCUGGGCAAUCUCUCUUGAAAUGCCCUUCUUUCUGGCACUGAAAACAUUUCUUGCCUUUAGUCUUUUGUUUGUUGUUCCCUUGCUUCUUUUUCUUUCCAUCAUACUUAUCAGUUCUUGCUUUUACUGCCAAUACUUCUCCAGAGUUCAUAUUCCCUGACUUUUCUUGCAGCCCUCUAGUAUUCAGGGCAGCCUUAACUUCAUCCAAUGAUAAAGUCUGUCUCCCAUACAUGAGUGCAUCCACAAAGUUUGAAUAUGAGGAUGGAAGUGAACUAACCAGAAGCAAUGCUUUACCUUCAUCAUCUAAACCUUCAUCAAUUAUUUCCAAUGUAUCACAGACCUGAUUGAAUUCAUCAAUGUGGUCUUCGAGAGAUGACCCUUCAGCCAUCUUUAGUGUGAACAUUCUUUUCUUGAUGUAAAGUCUGUUGGCUAAUGAUUUAGUCAUAUACACCCUUUCAAGCUUUGCCCACAGAUCAGCCACUGUUCUUUCUCUUGCAACUUCCCUGAUCACCGAGUCUCCAAGACUCAAGAUUAUGGUACUCCUUGCCUUUUUGUCAAUCUCAGCAGCUUGUUGUGGUGUUAGUGAUGAUGAAGAUGUGGAGGCUUCUAAUCCUUCUUUCUUGAUGAUAGGUUCUAAGGCAUCACCUAGCCCUUGAGUGAUCAGUAAUGCCUCCAUUUUAACCUUCCACAUGUUGAAGUCAUUCUUCCCUGUAAACUUCUCUAGAUCGAUCUUUGAACCAACCAUACUUGUGUCUGAUUUGUAAUCCAAGCUCUGAUACCAAUUGUAGUGUUUAAGAGUGACUAACUAUCCCAAUCAACUCAAAACACUUCCCAAGAUCACACCCAAACAAACAAGAUGUACCAAGAAUCAAUCCAGUAGAAUACACACAGAUUAUUAGAACUGAAAGAAUUAAAGAAAAGGACAAGAAUUAACGUGGUUCAGCUAGCUUCAGUCUAGCUUACAUCCACGGGAGAAACAGAACCCAAUUGUAUUGAUUGUUUAAAGGAGUUACAGAGAGUUCAUCAAGCUUGUUACAGAGUCUCUCAAGAAGCCUUUUGUUAUUAAUCUUCUCAACUCACAAUAGCUCUCUCUUCUUUUUUCUCAGUUGCCAGAAUCAGCUGUAUAUAACAGCUUGUUAACGAAUCAGCAACCAACCCAGAAACCCACGUGACAGUCAUGUGAGUUAACUGAUUCUAACGAACCAAGAACGCAACUUAUCCAUGCACGUGAAACUCUCGUGCAUCACUUAACCAAAACGACCUUCAUACAUGUCGUUCCAGGAGAUACGAGUUUGACUUUCCAAAACGCAGCAUCAGCUGACGUUUUCACAAACAGAUUUGCUUCACAUCACAACAUUGGGGGUAGUCAUUAGAAACUCUGUGGGUAAGGUUGUUGCUGCAGCAGUCCAAAGAGCUCCAUAUAGGGGAGAUGUGGCGUGUAUGGAGGUUGAAGCUGUUCUGUUUGGUAUUCAGAGUGCCCAACAAGCAGCUGUUUUCCCAAUAAUUAUUGAGUCGGAUUCAAAGGAAGUGGUGGAUCUAUCCUUAAAGAAAAAGAUCAGCAAGACUGAAAUUGAGUGGAAAAUUGCAGAAAUCCAAGCAAAUCUGGAAAAUCAGAAUGUGUCCUCGCUGUCAUAUGUCCCUAGAAGCUGUAACUCUAUUGCUCAUUCUAUUGCAAAGAUAGCUCUAGGUUUUGAAAGUCAAGUCUUUUGGCUGGAAAACUUUCCAGAACAUAUCAGGUGUACUCUUGCUAAGUUCAUCAAUUGAAAAGCUUUACUUUGCUCAUCAAAAAAAAAAAAAAAAAAAAACUCCAGUGGCUGCAUCCACUGGAAAAAGUGGAUGAGAACCAUUUUUUUUUCAUAAAGGUAACUACUCACAUAAUUGAUGGUGCUUAAAUCAAUUUUUUUUUUAAUUUAAAGAAUUUUGCUUUAAAAAAUAAUUAAUAUCAAAAUGCCUUCAAUGUUGUUACCCUCACAAGCCCAGUUAGAGGACUCAUUAAAAAUUUUAGAAUUUUCAGGCCUGGAAAGCGUAGUAUUAAACAUCAGAAAGCAAAGGUUUUUAUGUCGAAGAAUUGAUGUCGACAAAAUUUUAUUUUAGUUUUUGGGAAAAAAAAUAUUUUGUUGACAAGCAAGAAAAUAUUUUUUAUACUUUACAAUCUGCCUUCUCUCUCAUUGUCUCUCACUAUUUCACGAUCUCUCUCUCACUCACACAGGCAAUGACCAUCUCAUCAUCGGCGUUCGUGUCGUCAGUGUCACUGGUCUUGCUCGACCGAGACAGUGAGAGAGAGGUUUGUUAGAUGGAGUGAUGAUAAAGGAUUCUAUUUUUUUUAUUAAUAUUUUAAUUUUUAAAAUUAAAAUGUGCUGCCGUUUCUCUUGUCUUUUUAGCUGUUUAGCAGCACUCUUUUCAAAAUUUAAGAAUGUAGGUGUCCUAUAAGAGAUCGAUAAAAGAACGUCAAUUAAAUUUAUAAAAAUAUGAUAAAAGAACGUCAAUUACUUGUCUUUUAGGGAAUCCAAUGAGAAAUAUGAUAAAAGAACGUCAAUUACUUGUCAUUUUCAAUUUUUUUCUGUAAGCUAUUUAUUUUGAGCAUUAGUGCUCUUGUCUGGACUACUCCAAUUAUUGACGUAACUCCAGUGGCUGCAAUUAAUGAUAUAAAGCUGAGACUUUUGACCAAGUUAUCUAGUUGGGAAAGCAAAUUUUUUUCCAGUGGGGGCAAAGAAGUGUUGAUUAAAACUGUUGCUCAGGCUGUGCCAGUCUAUGCAAUGAGUGUUUUUAAGAUCCCUCAUAGCUUUUGUGAUGACAUUGAGAAGGCUAUUGCUCGUUUCUGGUGGGGUUCCUCUGAAACAAAAAGAAGCAUUCACUGGACAAGGUGGGAACGGUUGUGCCACGCCAAGAUAAGGGGGGGAUUGGGUUUUAGAGAUUUCUCUAGUUUUAACCAAGCCUUAAUUGCUAAGCAGGGGUGGAGAAUUCUGCAGCACCCUGACUCUUUAAUGGCAAAGAUUCUGAAAGCAAAAUAUUUUAAGCAUACUGGUUUUAUGGAUGCGAAAUUGGGUUCACACCCCUCUUUUGUUUGGAGAAGUAUAUUAUGGGGUAGGCAAGUGCUCCAUAACGGCCUAAGAUGGAGAAUCGGCUGUGGGAGUCAGGUUUUAAUUUCCAGUAGCAAUUGGAUAAAAAACCAUAAGCUUCACAGUUUGGUUCCAUAUUCAAAUCUACCUCCUGAAACUGUAGUUGUUGACCUUAUUGAUGAAAGUCACCAAUGGAAAGAAGAUAUGGUUUUCCAACAUUUUCCAAUGGAUGUUGCAAAGAGGAUCACAAGAACCCCUCUCCCAAAAACUCCCCAGCAGGAUCUUCUCAUUUGGAAAUAUGAUAAGCACAGAAUUUACUCGGUGAAGAGUGGGUAUCAAUUGGCUGUUAAGCAAAAAUUCCAAAAUUAUCCAAGUUGUUCAGAUGUUACCAAGUCAAGGUGGGAGGUGAUAUGGGCUACGGAUCUUCUAGGAAAAGUCAAGAUUUUUAUUUGGAGGGCUGCUCAAAAUCUUCUCCCUACAGUUGGAAAUCUAUGGAGGAGGAGGGUGGUGAAGGAUUAUUUUUGCCAAAGAUGUAAUUGCAGAGGAGAGGAUGUCUUCCAUGCUUUAAUAGAGUGCAGGGCAGCUAAAAGGGUUUGGAAGUUGACUGAAUUUUAUGAGGAUGUAAAGCAAUUAGCUCGGCAAGACAUGUUGAGUGUGCUGCAGGAUUUAGCUGUGAAGAGAAAAAAGAAUGAGCUGGAGCUUGUUGUUGCGGUGUGCUGGGCCAUUUGGUACUCUAGGAAUCGUUUGGUGUUUGAAGGAAAGGAAGAAGAUCCAAAAACUUCAGUGGCCAGAGCAAUUGCUAUGGUGGAAUCAUACAGGCGAAUAAAAGUUCCAAAUGAACAAAAUUCUCCAGGCCAUAGCAGAAUCAGUCAACUAGAAUGGGCAAAUCCUCCAAAGGGGUGUUAUAAAGUCAACGUUGAUGCUGCAAUUAAUGUUUCAAACCAAAAGGCAGGGUUGGGUGUAGUGUUUAAGAGUGACUAACUAUCCCAAUCAACUCAAAACACUUCCCAAGAUCACACCCAAACAAACAAGAUGUACCAAGAAUCAAUCCAGUAGAAUACACACAGAUUAUUAGAACUGAAAGAAUUAAAGAAAAGGACAAGAAUUAACGUGGUUCAGCUAGCUUCAGUCUAGCUUACAUCCACGGGAGAAACAGAACCCAAUUGUAUUGAUUGUUUAAAGGAGUUACAGAGAGUUCAUCAAGCUUGUUACAGAGUCUCUCAAGAAGCCUUUUGUUAUUAAUCUUCUCAACUCACAAUAGCUCUCUCUUCUUUUUUCUCAGUUGCCAGAAUCAGCUGUAUAUAACAGCUUGUUAACGAAUCAGCAACCAACCCAGAAACCCACGUGACAGUCAUGUGAGUUAACUGAUUCUAACGAACCAAGAACGCAACUUAUCCAUGCACGUGAAACUCUCGUGCAUCACUUAACCAAAACGACCUUCAUACAUGUCGUUCCAGGAGAUACGAGUUUGACUUUCCAAAACGCAGCAUCAGCUGACGUUUUCACAAACAGAUUUCGUUCACAUCACAACAUUGGGGGUAGUCAUUAGAAACUCUGUGGGUAAGGUUGUUGCUGCAGCAGUCCAAGGAGCUCCAUAUAGGGGAGAUGUGGCGUGUAUGGAGGUUGAAGCUGUUCUGUUUGGUAUUCAGAGUGCCCAACAAGCAGCUGUUUUCCCAAUAAUUAUUGAGUCGGAUUCAAAGGAAGUGGUGGAUCUAUCCUUAAAGAAAAAGAUCAGCAAGACUGAAAUUGAGUGGAAAAUUGCAGAAAUCCAAGCAAAUCUGGAAAAUCAGAAUGUGUCCUCGCUGUCAUAUGUCCCUAGAAGCUGUAACUCUAUUGCUCAUUCUAUUGCAAAGAUAGCUCUAGGUUUUGAAAGUCAAGUCUUUUGGCUGGAAAACUUUCCAGAACAUAUCAGGUGUACUCUUGCUAAGUUCAUCAAUUGAAAAGCUUUACUUUGCUCAUCAAAAAAAAAAAAAAAAAAAAAACUCCAGUGGCUGCAUCCACUGGAAAAAGUGGAUGAGAACCAUUUUUUUUUCAUAAAGGUAACUACUCACAUAAUUGAUGGUGCUUAAAUCAAUUUUUUUUUUAAUUUAAAGAAUUUUGCUUUAAAAAAUAAUUAAUAUCAAAAUGCCUUCAAUGUUGUUACCCUCACAAGCCCAGUUAGAGGACUCAUUAAAAAUUUUAGAAUUUUCAGGCCUGGAAAGCGUAGUAUUAAACAUCAGAAAGCAAAGGUUUUUAUGUCGAAGAAUUGAUGUCGACAAAAUUUUAUUUUAGUUUUUGGGAAAAAAAAUAUUUUGUUGACAAGCAAGAAAAUAUUUUUUAUACUUUACAAUCUGCUAUACAUAUUUUAUCAUAUUAAAGUAAUUUUAAUAAUAUAUGGAAACAUAAUAUUUUAAUAAAUAAAUUAAAAUUACUUUGAAUUAUUGAAUAUUACAAAAAGAUAAUUUUAAUAUUAUUAAUAGGAAAACAUUUUUUAAUUGUAAAAUCUUUUUAAUACAAAAAUUCAUUUAAAAUCUUUAUAAUAAAUACAAAUAUAAAAUUAAAAAAUAUUAUAAUUUAAAAUUUUUAAUAGUAUUUAAAUAUUAAAAAUACUUUAAUAUUAUUAAUCUACUACAUCAAAUAUAUUAUUUAUAUUAUAUUCGUAUUGAUUAAAACGUUUUAAAGUCAAAUUUUUAAUUAGUGUAUUCAAAGGUACAAAAGAUUUUAGUAUUAUUUUUUAAAAAUUUCAGGAUAUGAAUGUUAAUUUUUUUCAAAUUUUAAAGAUGUAAAAAUCUUUUUUUCUGAUAAUUUAUUUCACUUUUGAGAGAAUCCGAAAACGUUAAUUUAACAUUCUUUACCUUUGUGAAAAAAGUGAAAAUCAAGAACUAUUCAAUUUUGUUUUUAUUUGUAAUUCAAAAACUUUAUUCAUUUUGGAUGCUUUUCAAAAGAGAUUCCUUUAAAUCCUUUUGGUGUCUGCAGCUCCUGCUAUUCUCAUAAGUCUCCAUCCCACAUCUACACUAUCAAACAAGUUGAUGGAAAUUCUUAUAAAAAAAAAAAAAAAGUCGAUGGAAAUUGAUCAAUUGCUUUUUGAAAUGGACCCAUUGAGUCAUGUUCAUUUCUGGUCAUUGUCUACUCUUUCUAUCAGCCAUUAAUUUUGACCAUUUGCGAUCUUAUCUGGACCAACUCCAAUUAUUUAUGUAACGAACUCCAAAGGUUGCAUCUACAGUUGAAUGUAAGAUAGCGAAGGCUCUUCUUUGAGAAAAUAGAGGAACCUUUCUCUGUUUCUCCGUUGCAACGUGCUCAUAUAAAUUUCUUUACCUUACAGUUUAUACGGUCUUGCUGUUAAUGAAUUCGCUGAGGCAUUAUUGAUCCAAUCUGAGUGAAGUAAUUGUGGCUGAAAAAUAAAUAAAGGAUAUGAGAACGUAGCUGAAGUGCUGAAGGGGCUAUUAAAGAAGAGUGUCACUUGAUCACAAUCACAUUGAUGCACAACUCACUCGUGGCAAAUUUCGACUAUACGUACUGCAAAUUCAGCCAAACCAUACAUGCAUGAACAAAACAUCUUCUCUAAACUAAAAAGCCCACAUCUCUAAAAUCAAUCUACAUAAUGUUGGAGAUGAGGGGUGAAUUGUUAACUCAGUAAAAAAAAAAAACUCAUGCAUAAGAUUACUAAUAAUAUAAAUUAUAUAUUAAUCAUUAUAAAGAAUCAUAAAUUAGAAAAAUUAAUCAUUUUAUAAUUUAUUACACAAGUAUGAUAAAUCUUAUAAUAAGUUAUAACAUAAAAAAACGUUAUCAAUAAAUAAUCAUUUAAGAAGUCAUUUAACAAUAAAAUCGUUCUUUGAUCAGUUGGUCAUGUCACAUAGUAUCAUCUAUAUUUAUGGUGAUAAUAUUAUUACUUAGUAUUAUCAAAAAACAUGAUUUAACAUUUAGAGGAAAUUCUUGCCUUUUAAAAAAAACAUGUAUGCAACAGCUACCCAUGCUUUAUCUUACCAUGACAAAUAUUUUCUCAAUGAAAGAAUUUUUUUUUAAAAUUGAUUUAAUGCACAAAUAUGAUGAUUUUUGCCAAAAAUUAAUUUUGGAAAACAUAGUGAGAGAAAAUAGUGACGAUUAUUGUUUAGAUGUAUAAAUAGCCUAAACAUAAUCCUUAAUACCAGUAUCCAUGUGCAUCUUAGCAUCUUUUAUGAUAUUCUUUCAUUUAUGUCCAUUGGUUCAAGAUUUGAAUUUGAUCAUUAAAUCAUAUUCAAUAAUAUUAGAGAUUCCAAAAAUUGAGUACCAACUUAAAUCCCAAUGUUAUGUUUCAUUGACCAAUGUCGUGUCAUUUUCUUAUUAACUAGGUGAUGAAUUUCUAGUUGAUAAAAUCACUUAAAAAUAUCUUAAAAAUCAGACAAUAGUUUGCUUAAUUUUUCCAAGUUAACUGCUCAAGAUGCUCUAUUAUAAAUGAUAACCUAAUUAUAUUCAUAAAAAAUGAUAUAUUUUUUGUGGUGUUGAUAAUGAGAUUAUCAUUCAACAUUUUAAAAUGUGAAAACAUAUGGAAGAUGGUUGUAAAUUGAUUGAAUGAAAAUAUUUCAGUGAAGUCUCAAAAAUUUGGUACUUGUUGUCUUAUCGAAAGUUUUCUAAAUUAUAUUCGUGGCACAGCCACUAUCCAAACCAUACAAGUCCAAAGCUAUCCAAACCAUACCUGCAAGUCCGGGGCUUAAAUGGAGUACUUCUAAGCAAAAAAACAUUGACUAAAAUAGAAUAUAUACAUACAGACACACAUACAUACCAGCAUAUUCAAAAUAGCAAAAGGAGUGCAAAGUUCAAGUUUGUAGACAACAUUGCAACCAUAGCAUGUUUAUAGCAAAUCCUCAAAAUCUGCUAAAUAAAACAAUGCCCUGUCUCAUGAAUCAAUGCUGAAUUAAAAUUGAAACUGAAAGUCUGGAUGGUGUUGUUUGUUGAGAAUGUCAAAUAAAACGGCAUUGAAGGAAGUUUUCAAAGGCAGAAUCCGCACUUGUCAAAGGGAUGAUCUGCACUUGUCAAAGACACGAUCCGCGCUGAACGGAUCGACACAUUUCCUUCCGUAUUCACAUAUGUAAUCUUUGAAAAAAUAUAGCUUCUGCAUCUAUAAAUAACGCUCAAUGUAUAAUGUUUUAUUCAAGAAAUAAAAACAAGUUUCUACAUGGUAUCAGAGCCAUGAAUGCGCUCAAGUUUCUUCAAGUUUCGUUGCUCUGUUUGUCACAAAAACAGAGGAAACCAAAUUCGUCCCACAACCAUUUUUUCCACCAUUUUCUUCCUUAAAAUCAUUCCUAACAUUACAGAAAUCCAUGCCGAUCAAAAAACAUGAAAGACAAAUUACACAUGUGCAGUAACCAAUGAUCAUAUUUCGUUACUGUCAAACACAAUGCAUCUGAGCAAAACAUUGGAAGCCAACACCAGAAUACAUAUGAAUAAACAAUUAAAGAUAGAGAAAAAAGGCUUAAACCUUGGGGGAAAAAAGUGAAAAAACAUGAAAGACAAAUUACACAUGUGCAGUAACCAUCGAACUUAUCAGUGACAGCUGCAUCUAUUACAUUGCUCCAACAACACAAUGGCAAACCACCAGUUUCAAAUUGAGGAUAGCUAUCGAGAAUGAGAAAGUGUCCAAAACGUCAUAAAUAGACAUGUUCCUAUUGUGCAUAAUUUACAUUAUAGGCAAAUAUUCUUAUACCAUCAAUGGCAAAACAUGACACUAACAAUUGAUCCCCCCAACACCCCCCCCCCCCACCAACCAAAAAAAAAAAGGAAAUAACAAUACAGAAAAGAUUGAAACAGAUAAGGCUACACUGAGCACAGGAUGCCAUGAAACAUAAUCCAGGAACCAAAUUAAUAAAAAAGGAAGCCAAACCAUUAUUUAACAAUCUGUUUUGUAUUUGGGAAAGUCUGAUAAAAUCUACUUAGGGAUAAUUAGAGAACUUCAACUAUUAAUCACACCUCAUAAAUGAACUAACAUUAACCAUCUACCAUCCCCACGUCACACAAACAUUCUCUAUACUUCUGAACCUAAUACUUCCAUCUUCAAUUGGGGGGUUUUUUUCUUUUUUCUUUUUUUUGGGGGGGGGGGGGGGGGGGGGGGGAAGCUAUCAAUUUUCUAAGCUUGCUUAGCUUCUGUGUGGGAUUGAAAUGCUGAUUUCGAAUCACUAACAGUAAAAUUGGAAGCUCAUGAGAAAAUAGAGAAAGACCUAAUGUUGAGUCCUUUGGCGCAUGUCUCUUCAUAGGUCCGAACCAUUUCUUCGGGCGUGGGUUACGGCCGAGAUUGGAUAAUGAUGGAGGAGGAGAAAAUAGAUAAUGAUUGCACUAAUUUUCUAGAUGAAUUUUUUCCUACAUGCUUGUUCCCGAAUGACCCAAAAUCCUGCUACAUCAGUUGUAUUAGAAAUUAAUCAACUGGGUUACAAUUAUGCAUCCCCACCAAUAUUUAAGCAAUUUACAGAAACAUUUCUUGAGGAAAAAAACUCAUAUCGCCACUAGGCUUUUAAUGAGGCUCAUUUUUAUGAAUUUGGAUGGCAUUAGAUAUCUCUCCAAAUAUUGGUGGGAGUAGAUCGCAGAUCUCUGGGCUAUACUACAAAGUGUAUGUACGUUGACUCUCAAUAAAUACAAACGAUUCUCUGAUAUGAUUCAAAACAUCAGUACAUGCAUCAUUUUAAUGAGAAAGAAUAUUCUAAGAACGAAAUUGAAGGUGCAAUCAGCAGCUAAAAUGAAGCCAGAAAUGUACACGCAUGAGGAACUUUUCCUAGAAGAUUGAUAUUUCUUUGACUAGCAAACCACACACGUCAAAGCUAGCCAAACCAUACCUGCAUGUCGGGGGUUUAAAUGGAGUACUUCUAAGCAUAAAACAUUGAUUAAAACAGAAUACACACAUACAUACCAGCAAAUUCAAAAUAGCAAAAGGAGUGCAAAAGUUCAAGUUUGUAGACAACAUUGCAACCAUGGCAUGUUUAUAGCAAAUCCUCGAAAUCUGCUAAAUAAAACAAUGCCAUGUCUCAUGAAUCAAUGCUGAAUUAAAAUUGAAACUGAAAGUCUGGCUAGCGAUGUUUCCCUCUCCAAUUUUGCCUACAUAAGUGAAAAUAAGAAUAAUAAAUGAAAAUCUGCUUUGACAGUUCUUAUUAGAUAGAUAUAAAAAGAUCUUUCUUUGUUUCUCUGCAGCAAUCUGUGGCUAUCCCACUCUGUUUUGCCAGUCAAGCUGCGGCCUCAAUUAGUUUGGCACUUUUAUGACCUCCUUGAAGGUUUUACGAUAAACAUAAAUCUACUGACAAAGUGGGCAAAAAGAAAAUGUAUAUAAAAGUAUGAGUUAUCAGAUAAGAUUAAAACUCACCCAAUUCAAUCCAUCAGAUUCCGUAAGGAUAUAACUGGAUGUCAUACCGCCACUCUAUAUUCUUGAAAGUCCGUAGUGUUUGUCUCAACUGUGUCUGGGGCCAGUGUAAGUCCAAUUUGCGCAAGCUCUCUAUGCACCACAGCUCUUCUGGAAGCUUUCUCAAGUAAGCACAUGGGUUGACAAUUAAGCUUUCAAGUUUCGGCAUUGCUCCAGCCCCCAUCGUCCACUCAUCUAGCCAAUACAUUGAUUUCAGGUGCAAAACCUUAAGUUCGGGAAAGCUACUCAAGCCAACACAAGCAAGCUUUCUUCCUAAAUACGAGUUCUGCUUCAGUUUCAGCACUCGAAGGAGUGGAAGAUUUUCCAGAAUUGGCAUGGGAUCCUCCAUUAGCUCAGUAUUUGAUAAGCUCAGUUGGAUCAGACUUGGGGGAAAUUGGUAUUCAGACAGGACCAUCCGUGAGGGCUUGCUCUCAUUCACCAGCUUCAAGCAUUCAAGUUUGUGGAGUUCGCAAAGGCUUUUGGAAACCCCAGAUUGAUAGUAACUCAAAUCUCCAGAUAUCCGAAGAGUCUGAACACUAGGUAGUCUGCCCAAUAUAUCAGGAGUACAACUACUAGGGUUUAAAGCUGAUAUGAAAAUGAGAUUUUUCAGAGAGCUAGAAUAAUUUUUUGGAGGUGCGGGCAGAGUGAUAGAACCAAAGUUUAGAUGCAUGAGUUUUUGCAUCAUCCAAAUAUCCUCUGGUGACUGAUCUAUGUAGCUAGAUGGCAUUUCUAGUGUUUCAAGGUUUAAAAGGGUGCAUAGCAGUGAAGGAAGGCAUUUGGGCGAAGGGAUAUUCAAUUUCAAAUACUUCAAAAGGAAUGAAUUUUCUAAUCCGGGUGGAUAUUGGUCCAGGACUGCAGAACCCAUGUUCAAUACCCGAAGGUAUUUGAACCUUUUAAAAAAAUUCUCGCAAUCUUUCGAAUUAAGAUGAUUGCUUUUUGAACUGUGAUUCAGAAA
rnacentral:lncRNA from 1 species